rnacentral:lncRNA from 1 species
GUUCUACAACAGUAAGUUCAUAAAUUUUGAAUCUAGAAUUUAUGAACCUACUGUUGUAGAACAUAGUGAAUCUGCAUUAGAACCUAGGAAAAGUAAAAGAGCUUGAAUAGCUAAAGAUUUUGGGCCUGAUUUUCAUGUAUAUAACUUACAAGAAGAUCCUAAUACAAUCAGCAUCAAGUGACUCAAUUUUGGGCAUGAUUUAUUAUCAUAAAUCUCUUUUUUUUAGAAUAAAUCUCCUUUUAAUCUUCAAAAUAGUUACUAUUGUACAACACAUUUGGUUUCUUAUUUUUCCAAAUUUCAUAAGGAGAAAUAUUCGUUUUUGAGUUAGGAAUUCUAUUUAACACAUAACAUACAGUCAACACAAUUUCACCCCACCAAUAAGAAGCAGCUCCAUAACUAAGUAAAGUAGCAACAAUCAAUUCACAAAGAGUUCAACUUUUUCUUUCUGCUUUACCAUUCAUAUCAGGAGAAUAAGGAGUAGUAGUUUCAUGAAUAAUUCCAUGAGACUUGAACAAAAUAAUAAAUUCAGUGGAUUCAUAUUCUUGUCCUCUAUCACUACGAAAUCUUUUAAUCCUUCGAUUAAAUUGAUUUUCAACUUCAGCCAAGAAAGUUUUGAACAUGUCAAUAACUUCACUUUUAUUUUUCAUAAGAUAGACAAAACAGUCAUUCGAACAAUCAUCAAUAAAGGUAAUGAAAGAACAUUUUUCAUUUCUAGUUAACACUCUAUCAAAUUCGCAUAUAUCAGAAUGAAUUAAGUCAAGUGGUUCAGAUUCUCUAUUGAUAGAUUUAUGUGAAGUUCUAGUGACUUUAGCUUGACUACAAUAUUCACAUUUUUCAAAUUCAUUCAAUGAUAAGUUGGGUAAAAAGCUUAAGUUACUCAUGUUCUUAACCAAGCGUUUUGUUAACAUGACAAAGUCCAGCAUGCCAAGUAUUAAAAGAAGACAACAUGUAAGUAGAAGUAGACAUUUUAUUAGCAUCAACAUCCAAUUUAAACAUUCCAUUAGUAUCAUAUCCCUUUCCCUCAAAAACCCAAUUUUUAGUGAGAGUAUACGUAUCUGCUCCAAUGGUUUGAGUGAAUCCAACCUUGUUGAGAAGAAAGCCCGAGACUAGAUUCUUCCUUAUCGCUGGAGCGUGCAUCGUAUAUUUCAAUAUCAUGGUUUUUCCACAGGUGAACUUCAACUCCACCUCUCCAGUACCAACAACAUUAGUUGAGUGCGAAUCACCCAACAACACCUUCCUUCCCUCAGUCACAUAAUAAGUCUUGAAAAGGGAAUGAUCGUAGCAAACAUGGCGAAAAGCGCCAGUGUCCACCCACCACCCCUCAGAUCCAUCAACUAGGUUGAUUUCUGACAUCAUUGCAAUCAGUUGCUCUUUAACCAAAUUUGCCUGAGAAGCAGGGUUUUCAGAAUCCAUGGCAGAUUGAUAUGUCUUAAAAUUGUUGAAAACUGAAAUAGAAAGGAAUGAAUUCACUUGAAAAAUGUAGAAGCCUUGAGUGAUGAAUGAUUCUUGGGAUGAGUCGCGGGCUAAGUCACUCUCUUUAAACAUUUCGCGGAUCAACCUAAAGUGUGCAAGCAGUUCAUAAACACCACGUCAUCCCCAGGAUAAAACAGCCCAAAACCUUCUUCUUCUAAUAAGGUUCUUCCUUGCACAACAGAAGAACCUUCGAACUUACACCCUUUCAAUAUGUUGCUAACCAAAACUCAAUAUCAUAAAGUACAUGUAUUAUUUUUCUCGUGUCUUUUUUAAUGAUUCCAGGGACUGCUAUAUAUACUUAUAGAAGAAAGAGACGUUGAGGGUUUGAGAGAUUAAGGGCUUGAAAGUAGGACAAAGUCAAAACGUAAAAUAAAUUCAAAAUGGAAAAAAACAAAACGGUUUGAUUAUGUAUAAUGACAUGAUGUUCUUCUCUAUAUAGAGAAGGAAUCGCACGUUUCAUAAUAAGAGCAAAUAACUCCUUAUCUAAUUGAUAAAGCCAAAAUCAAUUGACUGUUAUGUAUAUAAUAUUGGUAAUAUAGCAAAACAUAAAUAUAUUUAAAUAUUUAAAUAAAAAAAUAUUUACUCCAACACUACUAGCUUCCUAACCUCGAUUUCAUCAUUUUGCUUUGAUUUGAUUUGAUUUUGAUCUUCUCUAUAAGAUUUGAAAAUCUACUUAUUUUAAGGGUCAACUCAUCCUCUUUCCUAUUGAACUUUGGUACAACCUUCUCUCCCAAGUCGGUUAGAGUCUUUCUCUCUAACUGAGACUCAUUCUCACCUCUUCUGUGAGGUUUUCGUUCUUGGUUUUUUCGUUCGGCUGCCAACCCUAGCUAUGGCUAGGGUCGGUGGUAAUCCUCUUCUUUUCCUUUUUGCUCUUCCCUCUCUUAUUUUCUGUUACUGCUCUUCCUCUGCUAUCCAUCAUGAUCAGUGCGACCAAUGCAUCCUUGAUGCCAUUAUUCCUACUCAAUUAAUUCCUCAUAUCCAUCCAAUCCAUCCCCCACAAAUAUGAUCCUCUUUAUUUUCGAUUUGGCUCCUUCCUUCAUCAAUUUAUACCCUUAUUUGGUCUGCAGUCACUUUUGAUGACCGUGAUCUGUCACGGUACAUCGAGAAGGUGUGUCGAGUUCCGGUCUUCAUAUCGGCUUGGGUGUCCGCACCACCUCCUUCUCUUGGUCUGCCUUUAUUGGCAGUGUUGCUUGUGGGAUUCUCACAUGCUUCUUUGUUUUCUUCUCCUUGGUGGCUGCGUUCGGAGAGGGUUUCAUUGAUGGAUCAUGGGGUCUUCCUUCAUCCCGUCUCUGAGGUGUUGAUUGGUUGAAAUUCUGGUGUUCGAUGGUGUACUUGGUUCCUGCUGUUCGUGCGGUGCUACAGAGGCGGUUGUAGAAGAAGACAAGGGUUUUCUUUUUGUGGGUCUUUGUUUUUGGGCUUUAACCUUUGUGUUGUCCCUUUGUGUGUAGUUUGUAAGGUCUAAUUUUGUGUUCUGUAUAUGGUUUGUAUCUUGGUGUGUAGUUUGUUUGGCCCUUUUUGCUUUAUGUUUUAGUGCGGGCCUUUGUGUGUAAGUUUUCAGUUGGUAAUAAUUUUACCAUUUGUAACCAAAAAAAAAAAAACUUAUCCCCCUUCCUUGGAGUUACUAUUCAAUGCAAGAGCUUUGGGUUGUGAAUAUAAUGUCUAGUAAAUAAGCACAUGGUGUCAAUUUCUAGGGCAUGAAUGUUUUAUAUCCAACCUUAAUCAAACAUAAAUAAUUAUUUUAACCAAAAGAAAUUAAAAAAAAGUACAUAAACAGUUAUGUGAAUGAUUAACUUAAGCCUAAGCACUACGGUGUGGCCCAGCAAUUGAGGAUGAAUUCUAGGCCCGCAUUUUACAUAGCACAUCAUGUGUUCGAUUCUUAGCGAUGGUGAAUCACGCGAUAGUGGCCAAGAGGAAGUUGAAAUGCAUCUGCAAGUCUUCCGGCUCCUGAAAGAAUGGAGUGUGUGGCGAAGCCACUAGCUAGUCCCUUCUAAAAUAUAAGAACUUAAUCCUAAUAUAUAUCAGUUUGAUCCCUCCUUGUCUACAGGUCGUUCAAGAAAUGUAGGUCGAGAUUAGUCCACAGAAACUAAGGGUCCCGCCAAUAAAUUAACAGCGUGACGGUAUAACAUAUUUAGAGUACCAAUCAAUUAGCUUUCAAAGAAAAGUCAGUCUUGAUCUUAGAAGCACGAAAGGAUCAUCGAGCAAUUUACUAGUAUAUAUUUGACAUUUGACAUUUGAAAGGCCUGACCCAAAGCUAUAUAUAUAAUGUAUAUAAAUAGGUCAUGGAGGUUAAUAUAUAGCAUGCUUAAUGUUUUGGAUUAGUUGACUAAAAUAUAUAAUCCAAUUAAGAGAGCAAUGGUAGCUCUUUGAUUUCGUGUUGGUAUUAGGGUUUUUGGGAGUUGAAGGUUGUGAAAAUGAUGUUUUGUGAUUUUAUAACAAGUUCAAGCAAUUGUUCCAAAAAAAAAAAAAAAAAAACAAGUUCAAACAAAAUGUGCGAAGGCAUUAUGUGCACGUUUCUUACAAUGAUUAUCAUUAAUUUUAAAUACAUUUUCCUACUAGAAUAUGAUAAUAGCAAUUGGCCAUUUACCAUAGUGGUGGAAAUAUGUUGAACCCUUACAGGGCGGCAUGGGUUAAACCCCAUUAUUGGCUAAUCUAACAUCUAAUGUAACAAAAUCUAUCGUUUGACAAAAUAAAAUGAUAAUACUUACAUUCACUUGUAAGUUCGGAGCUAAAAACUGUACACGCCCUUGUCUAUAAUCACCUUUCUUUUAUCAACACAUAUUUAUUUAAUAACUCGUUAUUUAGUAUUAUGAUUUAGUAGCUUUUUUUUUCAUUCGUAAAUGAAAUUAAGGUCUUAAGUUCGAAUCACUUAACAAGUUAGCUACCAAUUUAUGAUCUAUUUUUUUGGUUGUUGACCGAUUUAUGGUCAGUCCAUAUUAAUUAAUGAAACUGAAUAUUUUCCAUUUAUUUAUUUUUUAUCAAGUUAUGUACAGACACUGGUUGGUGUGCCAUAAAUACGUAGGCACUAUUGAAUUAAUUUCGAGCUCCGGAAAAAACGAGAGAAGAAAAAGAUUAAAAAAAAAACCCAGAUAAAAAUACACUCGCAAUAUUUACGUUUAGAGUUGAAGUUCCUACGAGUUGCACCAAGUUUAGUAAGGGUUUUAAGAAAAAAAUACUAGUUAUAAGGAAAACUACUAAUCGAUCACUUCCCAUUUUAUUUGGGUUAAGCCACAAAUUAUGAGCAAAUACACUUACAAGCAUCGGAAUGUUGAUAUUUUUUGCCCCAUUGCACAUCACUCACAUGCCACCAGUGCCAAUGCUACAAAUUGUAGCCGGCCAUCGUCGUUGUGCCAAAACAUUUUCUCCAAUACCCAAAAAAUUUGAUCAACUGGUCACAAGAACAAGUUGGCCGGUUGAAAAACGUGGUAGGAUUGAGUGACAAUCAUGUAAUUAUUUUGAAUUAUAGUAUUAUAGAAUUGUUUUGGUUAACUUUUCCAUUGAUACCUAUACUAAAAAAAAUAUAGUUAUAAUGACAAUGGAAUGGUGAUGGCAGUCUUUUUCAUGGAGGAAAACUAAUGAAAAGGGUUCGAAAACUUUGAGUUUUAAUGAUAAGGACAAAAUAAAGGGUAAAGUGAAUAGUACCAGGAUUGACUUUUUAGUGUAAAAAUGUGGUUUUUCGUUAAAGUGAACAGUACCAGUUGCUUUUCGUUAAAGUUCCCUUUUCAUGGCAUGGUGAUGGUGAGGGUGGUGCCGAAGAUUGUCAUAGGGAUUAUUCAAGGCCAUCUCUGACAUUUUGGGGGACUAUGUGCGAAUUUAAUUAAAAGACUAUUUUUAUUUAAAAUAAUAAUUUUUUUACAUCAUAUUUAUAUAAAAUUCAACAAUCAAUAUUCAAAUUUAAUUGAAAUCAGCAUUUCACUCUUAUUAAUGGAAUAAUCUCCCAUUGCCAUGAAAUUAUAAUUUAUUGUUCAUCCAUGAAAAAAAAAGAUAAGAGAGAUACAUAAAUACACUUAUGUUUGUGGAAAGAAGUAAUACAAAAGUUAGUUUUUUAUUGCUAGAAAAAAUUGAUAAAAAGCAAUACACAAGCUUUUCUAUUGCUGGAGAAAAACAGAAAAUUAAUAUAUUAAGUAUAGCCCCUACGUAAUCAAUUGUAAUAUAGAUAAAUUCAUAUGAAGAUGUUUUUCCUUUUCAAUCAAAUUUUUUUUUUAGAAAACUUAUAUUCAUACAUAGGAGGAUGAAAAAUUUUGGGGGCCUCAUAAAUUUGAGGCCCUGUGUAAUUACACCUUUUGCACACCCCAAUGCCCCUGGAAUGAUUGUGGUAAUGACAAUGGUGAUGGGCGUGUAAGUGGGGAAGGGGUGGUGGCAGCAGUGGCAUCUAUGAUUGGGUUCUCUUACUGUUAUGGAACUUUAGAAAUAACAAUUAAUUAGAUGGAAUUUGAAGUAUCACCAGUUGGCCUUUUACCACAGUGUUGGAAAGAUGUUGAGCCUUGCAUGACGGCGUGGGUUCGAAUCAUGUCGGUGACUAAUUUAAUAUCUAAUUUAACAAAAUCUAUCAUUUGACAAAUAAAAAUACACAAUUUUUUUUUUUAAUUUUUGGUAAACUAUUUUUUAAAUUUUUUUUUUAUGUUUAGUAAUUCAAAUAUAGGAAUUUGUAUGCUUAUCAAUUUAGAAAUUUUGAUGCAAAUGGCCCUUUACUGCAGUGGUGGAAAUGAGUUGAGUCAUUGCAUGACGGUAUGGGUUCGAACCCUGUCGAUGAUCUAACAAAAUUUAUCAUUUGACAAAAUAAAAAAUUUUGACUUUUAUUCGAAUACAAAUUUAUCAAAUUUAUUAUUCUCGUCCAAAGGGAGGAUAACUAUUUGGCAAAUGAAGUAAGGGCGCGUUUACUAAUCCGUAAUCAGAUUGAGAGGAAUUGAAUUGAGAAGGAACUGAAAUGAGGUGGAAUCAGAAUUAGAUUCAUGUUGCAGUUGUUUACCAAAACUGUCUAGAAUCGGAGUAGAAAUGACAUUGAUAUAUAAAAGUUGUUUACUAAUUCAUAUGAAUCGGAAUAAAAUCUAAUGUAAUUACUAAAGUACUCUUGUUUAACUAAUAUAUUUUAUAUGCUAAUUAUUUUUAGUAAAACUUUUACUCGUCCAGUUUUUAAAUUUUUCAGAGAGAAUAAUUUAUUUUUUUUUAGUAAAACUUUUGGCACAAAUUUAAUAUGAAAGAAUAUUUUUUAUUUGCUUCUACAUGUUAGAGAAGACUCUUAAUCAUCCUAAACUUUAUUAAAAAUAUCAACCUAAGGUAAACUUAAUAACAAUUACUUCCUAUUCUUUGACCAAAAAAAAAAAAAAACAAUUACUUCCUCUUCUCUCUCUCCCUCUCCCCAAUCUUUCUUGGCAACCGUCUCUCCUCCCUCCUCUCCUCCCCCAUCCUUUUCUCACUCACCCUCCACCGCCUCUCUCACCCUCCAUCGCCUCAACUCUCCCCCACAACCACAAGAUUCUCCUCAUCGCCAACCACGUUCCACCGCUGAUAAGAAGAAAGGGGGGGCAGCGGUGAUUUGAAGGUCGCCGGUGGAAAAGCCCCUGCUUUAUUCUGAAGAAGAUAAGGAUAAGGCUAAGGCCAAGGAGAUGGGAACAAAUGAGAGCACUUUUGUUCUUGCUUGGUUGGGGCUCGGCGGCGUCAUCCUACCCCAAGGCCUUAUUCUCGCUGCUUCGGGUAACCUUUCCGUUCAUUGUGAUUGAAUUGAUGUGAAUCAUCCAAAACCAUGAAGGGGGAGGUAGAAGAUACGGGGGUAGUUUGGGUAUAAAAGUUGGAUUCCUGGAAGAGCCUUGUCCUCGGAAUCCAAAUACCACCUCCAUCUAGGGGAUCCGAUUCCAUGAGAUUAAGGAAUUCAAUUCCGGAUUUUAAGUGGGCUCCACCUAUGUUUUCAUUCCCUAAAUGUUAGUAAACGUUGGAAUCCUUUGGGAGGAAUGCAAUUCCGUUUCUUUCCAUUCCAUUCCCGUUUGGUAAACACGCUCUAAAAGUGUAGGGUUCAUAGAUCAAACUUGAGGUCAAUAAUUUAUAGUAGGAGAGGUAGGGAUAGAAGUAACUAAUAUUCGGACUAGGAUUCUUUUCCAUUCUCUUUCCAUCACCUUCCAUCUGCUUCUCUCACAUUCUCUUAUUUUGUCUUUCUCUUUCUAUAAAAAAAAUUAAUAUAAGAUAUUGACGUGACGUAACCGUAAUUGUUCAAAUAGGAGAGGAGGGAAGAGAGAAGGAAAAAAAAUAAUGGAGAAAAUCCUAUUCCCUAAUAUUCAACUUGACCUGUAGCUUCAUCAUUUCAUGCUUAUUGAGACGUGUUAGAAGAAUUAGGGUUGAGAAAUUCCUAUGUAUUCACAUUAUUAAAUCAAAUUAUAAUAUUAUGAAUGAAUUAGGUGGCCUGGUUAUAGGAACAACUCUUUACAUUUCAACGCAUAUUUUUUUUUAUACGUAUGAAUCACAAUCUAACACAUGCAAAACUAACUCAUAAAAAAAUAUGCGUAUGCAAAUGGUUGUUUGUCUGCAAGAAAAAAUAGGUACUUUGACGUUGGAGAACACAAUACAAGAUUUCCACGUCGGAAGAUUUAUAAAAUGAAAUAUAACUUAUAUUAAGUGAUUCUACUUUUAAUUACACCGAGACUGUUCAUAAUAACAUUCUCGCACAUUCUUUGUUGUAAACUUGACAAGAUGCAAGUCGAAAGACGAUAUUAAUAUAGUUAGUAGCACCGUAGCGGGCUGAUGACCUGUCUAUUCGAAAUUAAAAACGUAUAAUGACCAAAUUUAAUGAUUCAAAUUGGGGGUGCUCCAACAGUCCAAUUCCAAGAAUUGAAAGAGGGGAAUAGAGUCAACAAGUUUACAUUGGCGGGAAAUUACAAAGAAAUGAAUGUGUAGGAUCAUAAGCAUGCAUACAAUGUACGGUAGUCAAAUGUGGCUGAUAUUUUUCGAUGCCGUUCGCACUUAUUAAUGCCACAUGGAACGGAAGAGUCAGUCUGCCUCAUCAAUUUAUAAUCUACAGAUUGCAAAUUGAGUAGGGUUUUUCUUAGUCGGGCCUCAAUUCAUUGGUCCAGACCAAGCAAAAUCUUAGAGGUCAAUUACAAUUUACAAUAUUGACAGUUAGUACUAUGAUCUGGUAAUUUUAUUUUAUUUUUACUUGUAAGUGAGAGGUUUUAGGUUCGAUUCUCGUCAUAGACAAAUUUGAACCACAUUAUUAUGACAAACCUAUUGUGAGGUUUAACCUACUAACCAGUAAUAUUCAAGGAGAGUGCUAGAAAUCUUUGCACUAAUUUUUGUAUUUGAAUUUUUUCACUUAUACAAAAAACAAGAUUGUUAAUGCUUUUGGCUAGGAAUUAAUAAUGAAAAAUAGAACAGGUAAUUUCAAAGAUAUGUAAGUUUUAUUUUGUGUGUAAAAAAAAUGACACGUGUCAUGAAAAAGGUGAAAAAGUCUAAAUGCAAAUGUUGUUAGCAUCUCUGGAUAUUCAAUUAGUAAAAUUAGUGAUAGAUACAUUUUUUAGGGUGAACACUAAAAUUGAAAGCACUAUUUACUUAUCAUGAAUAAUUAUGUAAGGUAUGAGUACCAUUUCUAUUCUUGACAUAUUGUUCAUUAAUUUGUCGAAAAUUGUGUAUCUCACUUUAAAAUUAGUUAUCUAUCAUAUGAAAAUUAGGUAUCUAAUCACCUAAAUAAUGUAGUUUAUCUUGUAUCUAACAAUCGUGCAUCCGAUUACAAGUAACCAACCACGAUAAUUAUGUGACAAGUGCACAUUAAUUGCUUACCAAAUGUUAUUUUAAACAUGUGGUUUAUUUAGCAUUUCGUAUCGUCACAAUGACCUAGGUUUACUAAUAAGUUGUGAAGGGAUCGAUUGAGUCACGUUUGAAGUUUCUUGUCAUAGUUUUUUGCUUGUAAUUGCAUGUCUAUGCAAUAAAAGAACAUAAUUAUUGAUCUAUGAUGAGUAAAUGAAAUCAAAAAAUGGAAAAGAAAACAAAAGGAAAAAGACCAUGAUUUAACUUGUUACAAAAGAAAAUAAAAGGAACAACGUCAAAUAAUCAUGCUACUUAGUACUAUGGUCUAAUGUAUAUCUUUUUACUUGUAAGUAAGAGUUAUAGGUUAGAUUAUCGUAAAAUACGAAUUUAAACCACAUUAUUGCUAGUCCAUUGUGAAUAUAAACUCAAUUCUCUCAUCUUUAAUGUAAAUAAUUUCAUUUGUCAAAAAAAAAAAAAUCAAGUAUUCUUAUACUUUUUAAUUUCAAAUCACAAACACAUUGCUCCAGAAUCAAUAAAUAACUUUAAAUCAAAUAAUUAAGCCACCCAAACGAAAGGGAAAGGGCAACUGAAAAGUACCAACAACCCUAUUUUUUUUUUUUUAAGACCCCUAAAAGGGACAUUGACCGUACUCAAUCCAAUUCUCGAGAAAACCACCCCCUUCAAAGUUCAAACUGCAAACAUCGUCACGAACCCGGAUUCUCUCCGGACUCAAAAAAUUUGAGCUUAAGAAUCAAAUGAGUCGGGUUAUUAAAAUUUAAUCUAACAACUACAAUUAUUAUAACUUUUAAAGGGGUUUCUUGUUUGUAGUCGUUGGAUCAAAUUUCAAUGAUCUGGAUUAUUUGAUCAUCAGGCUCAGAUUUUUUGGGUCCGGAAGGAAUCCGGAUCCCAACACCACACCCAAUAUACUAUUCAACAAUUGUUUUUUCUUUAGUUGUCUGAAAAAUGAACGGUAAAUAUUAAUUUUAAGUAAUUGAACAAUUGAUCUUAAAAAAAAUUAAAUAAUAAAAAUUAUUUAAAAAGUCGAACUACUUAGUAGUUUAAAUUAUCAAAAGCAACCCCUAUUCAACACCUACAAACACAUAUUACACAACAUUUAGCAUAUUGAGUUUACCAUACUAGGUGGUAGUUUCAAUUUUACAGUUUCGAAGUGGAAAUUUGCUCACAACUCUAAGGACCAAAAUCAGUAUUAUGUAUGCCUUAAAAUGAAGAUCAAAAUGUCAAUGUGGUAAUUUGGGACAGUAAUGAAGCUUUAACAUCGCUUUGUGUUCACAUAUGUGAGUUUGCUUACAAAAUCAUGUUAACUUGACUUUGAAUAAAUAAAUAAAUUACAGCUGAUAUCAUUAUGACAUUAAUUUAAAUGUUCUUGAGUGAGAAAAUCUUAGCUGUAACCGGUAAUAUUUGUGUAUUUUAAUGGUGCUAAAAAAAAAAGACUGUUAAUGCUUUUGGCUAGGAAUUAAUAAUGAGAAAUAGAAAAUAUAAUUUCAAUGACAUAUAAGUCUUGUUUUUGUGAAGAAAAAAAAAAUGAAAUGUGUCAUGUGAAGAAGUGAAAAAAUCUAAAUGCAAAUGUUGCUAGCACUAUUUACUUAUCAUGAAUAAUUAUGUAAAGGUAUGAGCAUCAUUUCUAUUUUUUGACAUAUUAUUCAUUAAUUUGUCGAAAAAUGUGUAUCUCACAUUAAAAUUAGUUAUCUACCACAUGAAAAUUAGGUAUCUAAUCACGUAAAUGAUGUCGUUUUAUCUUAUAUGUAACAAUCGUGCAUUCUAAUUCAAUAUAUACCUACCUAUCUGAUUACAAGUAACCAACCACCUAAUGUUAUUUAAAACAUGUGGUUGUGGUUUAUUACCAUUUCAUAUCGUCACAAUGACCUAGGUUUCCUUUCUAAUAAGUUGUGAAGGGAUCGAUUGAGUCACGUGAAGUUUCCUGUCAUAGUUUUUUGCUUGUAAUUGCAUGUUUUGUGCAAUAAGGGUGCGUUUGGUACGCAGACGAGACGGAACGGGACGGGACGGGACGGGACGGAACGGGACGGGACAGGACGGAACGAAGGUGUAAUUUUUGAAAAAGACAUGGGGUAUAUUUGUCUUAAAAUGGUAAAACAUUGUGUUCCACAGACGUGGAACAAACCCGUUCCAGGGGGUGGAGGUGGGACGCAAAAACACCCAAAAUCUGUCCCGUGGAACAACCCGUUCCACCCAUUUUUGGCGCACCAAACGCGGGACGGAACGCCUCGUCCCGUUCCGUCCCGUCCCGUCCCACGUACCAAACGCACCCUAAAAGAACAUAAUUAUUAUUGAUCUGCUAUGAGUAAAAAAACUAAAAAAAUGAAAAAGAAAACAAAAGGAAAAAGACCAUGACUUAACUUGUUACAAAAGAAAAUAAAAUGAACAAAGUCAAAUAAUCAUACAACUUAGUAAUACGGUCUAAUUAUAUUUCUUUUCAUUAGUAAGUAAGAUGUCUUAGGUUCAAUUCUUGUCAAAUAAGAAUUUGAACCACAUUAUUACUAUCUUAUUGUGAGGUUAAACUCAUUUUUCUCUCAUUUAAUGCAGAUAAUAUCGUUUGUAAAAAAAAAUCAAAUAAUCUUAUACUUUUUAAUUUCAAAUCACAAACACAUUGCUCCAAAAUCAAUAAAUAACUUUAAAUCAAAUAAGCCACCCAAACGAAAGGGAAAGGACAACUGAAAAGUACCAACAACCCUAAUAUUUUUUUUUAAGACUCCAAAAAAGGACAUAGACCGUACUCUAGAAAACCACACCCUUCAAAGUUCGAACUGCAAACAACACCACACCCAAUAUACUGUUCAACCAAUUUUUCUACCUUUUUUAGUAGUUUGAAAAAUGAACGGUAAAUAUUAAUUUUAAGUAAGUGAAUAAUUAAUUUAAAAAAAUAAUAAUGAAAAUUAUUUAAAAAAUCGAACUACUUGGUAGUUUAAAUUAUCAAAAGCAAUCCCUAUUCAACACCUUCAAAUUAUUUAGCAUAUUGAUUUUACCAUACUAGGUGGUAGUUUCAAUUUUACAGUUUCGAAGUGGAAUUUUGCUCACAACUCUAAGGACCAAAAUCAGUAUUAUGUAUGCCUUAAAAUGAAGAUCAAAAUGUCAAUGUGGUAAUUUGGGACAGUAAUGAAGCUUUAACAUCGCUUUAUGUUCACAUAUGUGAGUUUGCUCAAUUGGUUACAAAAUCCUGUUAACUUGACUUUGAAUCUCCUUUUAUCUUGAAAUAGGGUUUGUUUGAAACUGCUUUUAAAAUAACUAAAAACCCUAUUUUGAGAAAAUGUGAUUUCACCAAUAAAGUGAUUUUUUGGGAUUCACUUGUCAUUUUACUAAGAAAUGGUUUCAAAAGUAUUUUCACCAAAAGCAUUUUCAACCAUUUAAAACCACUUUUAAACGAGUCUAUAGUUUAAAGAGAAAUUUUAUUUAAACUCAUCUAACCUAUUUCUACACCCAACUUACUCUUUGCACCCAUUUGAUUUUUAACUAAACUAUUAAUAUCUCUUUAAACUCAAAUUUAAUACCUAAUAUACCCUCAUAAACCCAAUUCAAUAUGUGGAUUUAUUUUUACACCCAUUUGAUUUUUAGAAGCUAAAUUUGAAUAAUCAUGCGCUUUAUGGCGGUGCUGAGAAAGGCACUAUUGGAACAUGAUAUAAACGCUAGGAUUAUGGAUUAUUUGAACAUUCCUGAGAAUGAGUAUGGUCUUGUGUUUACUGUGAGUAGAGGUUCUACAUUUAAAUUGUUGGCCGAAUCAUACCCCUUCCAAACAAACAAAAAAUUGUUGACUAUGUUUGAUUACGAGAGCUAGUCUGUGAAUUGGAUGGUUUAGAGUGCCAGAGAGAGAAAGGUGCAAAGGUUUACAGUGCCUGGUUUAAGUGGCCAACCCUCAAACUGUGCUCAACUGAUUUGAGAAAGCAAAUUACGAACAAAAAGAAGAAGAAAAAGAUGCUGCGACUAGUCUUUUUGUUUUUCCAGUUCAGGUUACUGGGUCCUUUCACACUGGACAUUAUUCAUCGUUGGAUGCUUUCAUUGUUGUUUUAGCGGAAGGUAGGAUGCCUUCGUUGUAUUUGUUGAAAAAAAUUACAGUAAAUAACUUCUACUCUCUAAAAAAUAGAAAUCAAACAACAAAAAAAUUCAUAAAUUGAGCCAUACUUUGAUUGGAGGAUUCAAAAAUUCAAAAUCAUCAUUUAUCAAUAUAAAAACUUAUUUUUCUCUAUGAGAGCUAUUAGGGUUUUAGCCAGAAUAAACGUAAGAUAAACAAAGAGUAAUCGUAGGGUUUAAUUAUAGUGUUUGAGUUUAUUGAUAAAUUUGAGUUUUAUUAUUAAUUUCAUUUUGUACUUAAUAAUAAUUAUGCAAUAGAGUAAAAUAGAUAAUUAAUAUUUACAAUUUAAAUUGGGUAUAAAAAGAGGUUAAAUGAGUUUAAAUAAAAUUUCUCUAGUUUAAAAUAUCAUUGAAAAACAUCAGUCUAUACCGAGAAUGAGAAGAUCAACUUACAUAAGAUUAAUUCACCGUCAUUUUGGCUCGGCUCAAUAAAUUAUGUGAAAUAAACUUACAUAUAUUAAUAAAUUAUUAAACUAAAAUACUACGUAACAAUAAACUCGUUUGUGUAAGUGCUUCUCAAGUAUGAGACCCCACUCAAAUUUUCUUUCCAUGGCCGUUAAUAAUUGUCCAAAAAAAAAAGGGUCGUUAAUAAAGCAGCAGCUGUAGAUUUUUGGUCACGUGAGGCCCGUUCGACUGGGGCCCACAGAUGUUAAACCCAAAUAGGCCCCACCCUAUUACCUUUUUCCUAAGCAUCUUAAUUCUAAAAUCUCCGAUCCACCAAAAUGACACAACGCUGCGUUUGGCGGGAUCCACCACCAUCGAAUAGUGAAUGAACGGUGACGAUGUUACAUCAAUCUUAAGUGGCCGCUUGGACCCACCAGCCGUUGAUCACACCGCCCUCACCCCCACCCAUUUGGCUCCUCAGUUGUUUACUUUUUAAGAAAAUAAAUAAAAAGAACUUAAAAACUUUAAAUUUCGACGAUAAAAAAAAAAAUAAUAAUAAUACUAAGAUUGAUAUUUUAAUAUAAAAAUAUAAUCUUUAUUAAAAUAAAUAAUACCAAAAAUCUUUUAUUAAAAUUCCCUUAUUUUUUUGCCUGUAGCAUCAGCAUCAUCGACCACAACGAUAAUAAAUGAGGGCACUUUCAUAAUUUGAAAAAUUACUACAGCAGCUUUUCAUAAUAAUUUAAUUUGACAAAAAUCAAACAUAAAAACUCCAACUUAAAAAAAUAAAAAAUUAUCACACCGUAGUACUAAAUAAUAAAAAUAAUCAUUGUCUAAAAAUAUAAGUAAGAUAAUUAUACAACAAAAAAUAGAAAAAAAUCUGUGCUGUAAUAUUGAUAAGCAACAAGUAACAACAUUAGUGUACACAAAGAGAGACCCGGCAUCCCUUUUAAUUAACCAUCCAUAUGUUUUCAAAAAAUUAAAAGAGAAAAAAAAAAAAACUGAGGGUGAAGGGGUAAAAUCGUACUUUCGACCUAUAAGCGCCACGAACAACAGCGGGGUUGCUACGGGAUGCCCAACAGUAAGCACGAUCAACGGUUAGGAUUGGCUCUACCGAAAUCCGCCAGCUUCCUAGACCGGUUCUUGCAGAACGACGCCGCUACGCGAAUCUCGCCGGCGAUCUCCGGCGGCAAUCCCUUCUGGUUCCAGUGUCGGUUCGGGCUGGCUCGAACCAGCGGGCUCAGGCAAAACGCCAGACCCGAUACGUUGUUCUUUCCCUGCCCGGCGCGUGCCCUCCGCGUCGACGACGGAGCCAGCGUCGGCGUCUUCUUCCAUUCCGGCGUCGUCGCCGACGAAUCACCGCUUCCCGACCGCGAUCGAUCGCAGUCUUCGAAGGGAUCGGGAGUCAGGUCCGGUGACAAUCCGCGAGGUCUCGGGCAACCGGAGGACUCGUCGGCGUAGAGAUGUUUCGAUCGAUUCCGCGUUUUCCUAGCGAAGAUCGAAGAGAACCACGAGGGCGACGAAGCCGACGACGACGACCUGGCCGGUACCGACGAAUCCCUAGGAUCCGACCAGGACUUAUCGGAUCUGGAUCGGAAAAGACUCGAUAAGAGCGAGAACCGCGUCUUGCUCUUCUUGCACGAGCCUUCAAUGGUGGAGUUGGCGUUGGUAUAUGUAGGGCCCACCUGAGGAGUACUGUAGAAUCGAAUCCGGUGCUGUUGUUGAUGGUGGUGGUGGUGGUGGUGGUGUUGCUGACUGUGAUCUGGACGGUGGUGGUGGUAGUGGUGCCACGUGGAAUCGUCCGAUUUUCUUCGAGAGACGUAGGGGGACACGGAACGGGGGAAGCUAAGUGGCGGAGGGUUGGGGUCGGACUUGCGGUUGGGUUCAUCAAGCGGCGCCGCGGCGGUGGUCCGGGAGUGGAGUCUGGAGAGCUGGGCCUGGGCCUGGGCCUGGAUUUGGGCCUCGAUGAGGGCGGCGAGGCGCUCCCGGAGACAGGAGGCGCAGACGCCGACGGUGCUGGUGAGGUCGGCGAGGUGCUUCUUGCACCUCAUCUAAAACAUUUACUCUGGAAACCCAACAAAUCGAAUUCUCAGUUGAAAUGUGUAUAUAUAAGAAGUGGGUAUGCGGAGAAAUUUGAGGGAUUUUUAUGGCAUUUCAGAGGGAAUAGGAUCUUUGGUUUUCUGGGUGUAAGAUUGAAAGGGAUGGAUCUUCUUCUUCUUCUUCUGGGGAACCCAAAGGCUUCUUCUGCACUGGCCAAAAGGGGGAGCUUUGUCUUCUACUUCUUUGUUUGGGUUUUUAGCGAGAUAGAGAGAGAGAGAGAGAGAGAGAGUGGGUGGGUGGGAGUUUUUAUUUGUGUGCGUGAGGUGGCCAAGCAAAUGAGUAUUUGGUAUAUUAUUUAAAUUUAGAGAGAGCAAAAAGAAAAAAAAUCUAGAGGGAGAAAGGUACAGAGUCAAAGUAAAACAUACGCUGAACCACAACAAGAAGCUCAGUGGUAAUGAUGCAAAUUGCGUCUCUCUAAUAAAUAAAUAAAUACGAAGGUUUUGGAUUCGAUACUCCGAGUUAGUGAUUCUGCUUGAUUGUGAUCAUGAACAAAUUGAAAUUUCUCAUAGCCUCUUUAGGUCACAAAUAGAUGAAUUAUCGUGAUCUGCUACCGAAUGUCCUGUUUUUCAAAACAAAAGAAAAAAGAAAAGAAAAAAAGAAAGUAAAACAUGUGCUGGGUUUGGGGUCAUAAUUCAUUUACUUGUGAGGGAGGGUGGGUGAAAGAAGACGUCCAUGUUAGGAAAUAAAUUUGGAAGGUUGAAAUGUGCAUUUAAGACAAAACCUCUCUUAAUCAUAAUUACCCAAUUCAGAUUUUGUUUAACUUAUCUGGUAAUCUACUGAUUGUCAGUCAAAGCUAUGCGUGUAUUUUACUUGCAUUAAUAGUCGACGGUCGUUGAUACACAGUAACAAAUUUGAAUUCUCAAUUUUCAUCCCUUCUAGUUUGACCUUUUACAAUGCUUCCGUGGUUUUAGUAACUUUAAUAACUGUCUAAUUUUCAUAUUUUUUUUGUCAAAGGAUAAUAUAUUUUUCAAAAACUGUUACAAUAGACUUAUAAAUUCAUAAUGUUACAAAAUCAUGUCAUCUGAAAUAGGUAGCCACAAAUACAUAUCAAACUCAUAACAAAUUUAUAUCGUGAUUGUUAUUUAUGUGAAUCAACUAUGAGACCUCUUUAAACUAAGUGAAAACAAAUAUAGUUAGAUCAAAGAUUAGUUAUUCAUUGCACAUAUAAUUUGACAACCGAAUGAUCUUUAAUAUGGUCGUCAUAAAGUGAAGAAAAAUGGGCCUAUGUGGCAAGUAAAUCCUAUCUCAAUCUUUGUGUAUGGAUCUUGUAGUUGGGAGUUUGCAUAAAACUAUUGGUUGGGUUAGAUUUACCACCUCUCCCUUGGUGGAGACGUUAAUGCACCACUAAUGAAAGCCCCGUUGUUUUUUUUUUCUUGUCAAGUCAUAGAUUUGUUAAAUUUGCUACCGACGGGAUAUGAACCAAAGUCACUUUGGUGGAGACGUUAAUGCACCACCAAUGAAAACCCUUAGGUUUUUUUUUUCUUGUCAAACGAUAUAUUUGUUAUAUUAAACAUUAAAUGAGUCAUCGAUGAGAUUAGAACCAAUACCGUCAUGUAAGGGUUCAACUUCUUUCUAUCACUAUGAUUAGUUGAGAAUAAUUCAGCUGCGAAUUUGAUGGGGCAAAAUUUAAAAUCUCCCUUCCUUUGUGGGGUAAAGCCAAACAUAUGGGAUUUUAAGUACGAUUUCAAAUAUUUAAUUCAUUUUUAUUGCUAACGGUAUUUUUAUUGAUAUUGGUUAGCAUUAAUUUAAUUUAUUUAGUUCUUACGUACUAUUGCAAUAAGAAAUGAUUAAUUCUUCCAAAAAUAUAGAUGGAUCUAAAGGUCAUUUUCUUAUUAAGAGUUAUAAGUCAUUUUAGUUUGACAUUGGGCAAAAUCUAUCUCCAGUAAAAGAGCUAUAUCCUAGAUAGCAAUGGAUUAUAUCCUAGUGAACAUACAUGGCCGGGUACAAGUCACAUUCUGGCUGGCUACUUAUAGCCCUAGAGCGAGCGGUAUUUCGUUUUUCCGACAAUAUAUUUUUGUGAGGUAUACUUGAGCUUCAUUUCUCUAUCUAAAUAUAUAACCGAGAAUAUGCAUGAAAAAAAUAAUCUACAUUAAGUAAAAAAUAUUUGCAUGUGGUUUAAUAUUGUAAUAAAUAGUGUGUUCAGUUUCCACUCAUGUGUCUUGAGUUCGAAAUUUCCUCAUUUCCUAACGUAUUAUAAUAUAAUAGUUUUGAACUCUCUCGUUUCUUACAGCUUAAUAAUAAUAAGUUAAAAAAAUUAAAUAAAGAAUAUUAUCUUUUAUUUUAUUUUAUUUUCUCAUUUGCUUUUUCCUCAUCUAAAUUUAAAACUAAGACGCCAUAUUCCAAAAGAGUUGGUGAUGAAUAAAUAUAAAAAAGGAAAGAGGAAAAAGAAACAAGGAAAAUAAAAGUGAGAUGCCGCUUAUCUUUUGAUUGGGAGUUUUGAAUGAGAUGGAAGAAUUUUAGAGGGAGAAUGUAUCCCCUUAAUCCACUUUCUUUUAGUGUUGAAGACUCAACAAUUUGAAAGGGAAAGAAAGAAAAACAUGUUCUAGCGAAUUUGUUGUACGUGUCGCACACCCAAAUUACCUUUUAUAAGAAUAUCUCAUAUGGAAUUGUAAUACAGAUUAAAAAGGUGUAAUGUCUGUUAUAACGUAUCUUCACUUAAAUUUUUUCUCUCUGAGUCGGGGUGAACUUAUUUCUCCACUUACAAAUAACGCAUCUUCACGGUAAAAACUUUAUAAUAAGAACAGUUCAGUUUCUUAAUCUUCAUUUGAAGAUCAUGCUCGCAAAAAACCAUUGAAACAUAAAUUGUUUAGCGAUUCAAGUAUAUCAUGAAUGGUUUAUCAUUAACAUGUUACUUGAGACCUACACUUAAUUCAUUUGGUACCUAAGAAUAACUAUGUGGUCUUCAAUUCGAAUGAGUUUUUAUAAGAACGAUCUUCAAAUGAAGACUAAAGUUUCAAUACAAGAGGAUACUUGCGCUUGGGCUUGAAUUGAACGAUUUGUGGUCUAUGUUUUGGCCACCCAACUUCGGAUGUGUUUGACCUACUUGCGUGCAUAUGUAUGGAGACUCAACUUGCAUUUUAACGUGCACUGGAUCGUUUUGUCAAUGGUACAUGGUCAGAGAUAUUGAUCAUAUGUCUUACCUACAUACCACACCGUCGGCAGGCAAGGUUUUUAUACAAGUUCAAAGUCUUUGGUUGUGAACAACAACAAAUGGUCUAGUGGUAAGAGAGAUGACUGCGGCUUCUAAUACCAAAAAAAUAUGAGAGGUCUCUGGUUCGAUGCUUCGAGUUGAUGAGUCUGCUUGAUUGCGGUCAUGGACAAAAUGAAAUUCCUAUAGUUUCUCUGAACUUAAAAGGAAUAGAUAAUCAUGCUAUGCUCGCCACCAAUUAUUAUCUUUUUCAAAAAAAAAAAAAAAAAGGUCUGAUUGUGGUAAAUACCACCCACCUAAAACUGAACCUAAACCUAAACGUGUCCUUACGAGCUUUCGAAACUUCCAUCACACUUCUCAUAUCAAGUUUUAAUACUUUUGUACCCAAAGACUUUUUCAGUGUGUCGAUCCCUGGCCGCUGCCGUAUUUUUCUUAUUUGUAUUGUUUAUUUAUUCAAAUUUUAUAAUCUAUUGUCUUGUCUUGUUUAAAUAAGUGAAUUAAAAGCAAAAAUAAUAAUCACUUUAAGUUUUAUAUUCUAUUGCCUUGGUAGAUCAAAUUGUUUUUUCUCUUUAACUCAAUGCGUUCGAGGUUUAAACGUUCGUCUUAGUGCAACUUAAAAUUGUAUUACAACCUGAAAGGCUGAAAACAAACAACUCUAAGGGAAAGAAGAUAGUUGGUUUGCUUCGUUCUCUACUUAGUAUAUUUCUUUAGCGGUCGUAGACCUACUUAAGUAGUUAAUGUAAAUUACGGUUCUUCGCUCUACCUUUGAAAUGCAUUCUGUGUAAUAAUAAGAAAAUAAUCACCUAAUUAUAUCAAACAUUACGUAGUAAAAAAUUACGGUAGAUCUCGAUAAAAAGAACUUUUCCGAUAAUAAAUUUAAUGAUCUACUGAGUAAAUAAUUAGGUCAAAAUUUAACAAUUGUUAUACUUUUUUGUCCCAUUUAACGUUAGAUUUUGAGUACAUACCCCACCUGGAUUAGUAGAUCUCAUUAAUGUGAAUUUAGUUAAGGUAUAUAGAAGAAAGCAAGGAAGUGUAUCCCCGUACAACCUUUUUCUUUAAGUAUAAAAUCAUUGGUAUUUUUGUUGUUUAGCCGAUUGAGCAAGACCUAAUCAUGAUUAAGUAAGAACAAGUAGACACAAAUUUGAAGUGUCGCCAUCAAAUUAUAUCGGAUAUUAUAAAUUAUAAAAGACGACAAUUCAAUUAUGUCACCAUAUAUGACUUGUCUAUUUUUUCCCCGCAUAUAUUUAAAACUAAUACCAUUUUAUAUGCAGGAAAAAUAUUAUUUAACUUCGAUUUUCUACCCCUUAUAAUCAAAUCGUUCAUCUUUUAGUCAUUUGUAUAUCGUCAUGAUCAUUAUCGUAAUUAACUAAUUGAAAUAGUAUUGUAAUUGUCUUUUACUCAAUAGCAGUUAAAUGACUAUAUGCUUGGUGAUUUGGUUCCUUCAAUUUUUGACUUGAGAUUACAAAAAUAUUUUCGACUGUAAGAUUAGGUGCUCAAUUUUUUCCCUUGAAGGAGAGAGAAAUGAAUACCUAUGAGUAAAUUGACGAUGAUUAUAGAUAAUUCCAAUUACGAAAAUACUUGUUUCUCCACUUUAUGGGUUCAAAUUAUAAAAGUAUACUAUAAGUAUACGUUAAUCACAAGGGUAACAAAAUUGUUUGUGUGUUGUCAACUAUGGAACCAUUUCAUUAAAGGAUUAUCACUUUCAAUUUAUAUGUAACUAUAGGAUUAUCAACGGGAGACUUUAGAUGCGGUUUUUAGUUAUGAAUAUUCUUUAUUGAAACCUUGUUGGUUUUUAAUUUUUAUCGAGGUCCUUGAAAUUAAUGUGAUAAUUUAUUUCUAUGUACAUUACUAUAUUUUUUAAAUUAAAAAUUAGAAAUUUUAGUUGUUUAUAUAAAUGAGAUUUUAAAUUUAAAAAAACCAUAAUUUGUGGGAUUAAAAAUAUUAAAAAAUAAAUAUACUAUUGUGUGUGUGUGUGUAUAUAAACAUGGGUACAUUCAUCAAAAUUAACCAAAACAUUUAUUGUAUCAAAACAUGGGUAAAUUCUUCAAAAUCACAAAAAAGAAAAAAAAGAAAAAGAAGAAGAAGAUAUUAGGCUUAAUAACAUUAGUAAAUUUCUUCGAUUAAACUUGACAUAGAUACAUUUUAAAAUCAAAGAAAAAAGAAUGUACCCAUAUAAGUUUAAAAAUGGAUUAAAAAAAAUUGAAUAGAUUUUAUAUAAAAAAGGGUACAUUUUACAUGUAACAAAUUGGUAUAUUUAAGAAUGAGUACAUUUUAAGAUUAAAAAGUUUUACAUGAAUGGGUACAUAUAAUUAGCAUGGGUGCAUUUAGCAAAAUAAAAAGUACAAAUACAAAAAAAUAUAUGGGUGCAAUUCCAAAUAAACUUUUAAAAAAUAUGGGCACAAAAAGAAAUUAAUAUAUGGGUACAAAUUAAAAAAGAAAAGAAAAUUGGUACAAGUUAAAAACGAAUUACAAAUUAAAAAUGAGUACAAACUAAAACUAAAAAUAUAUGAUAAAAAAUUUAGUCAUAAAUAUAAAUAUACUAAUUGUAACAUUUUUAACAUUAAAUGAACAUAUUUAGAAAUAAAAAAAUAUUUAUUAUUGAAAUAAUUAAUGAUGUUAUUAAUACCCAAGGACCUUGAUAAAAAAUUAAAAAUGAAUAAGAUUUUAAUCAAUGAAAUAAUAAAGGGAAGGAUAAAAACCUAAUUUCUUCGAUCAUCAACUAUCAACUAUAACUUUAUAGGUUCAAAUUAUAAAAUUUAUACUGUAAAUAUACAUUAACUAUUCAAUUAAAAUUAUAGACAUGAUUGUAAAGGGGACGUUGACUCAAAUUGUAUGCGAAUGAAGGGUAUAUACAUAGACACUAGGGCAUGCACUGACCCACCUUUUAUAAAUCCCUUAUCCCUAAAAGCAAUUCAACUUUUUUUAGUGCAAUAUGUUUGGAGACCUUGGACUAAGUCGCUUUCUUCUUCUAGGUGUUUUGCUUAACUUAAAAGUAGCAAACAAACAACCACCCAAUUGACAAAGAAAAUCUUAUAUAAAAGGUCUACUAAUUUUCCUGUAUUUUCAAAAACCAUUUACUUAAGACUAAAUGAUUACUCCAAUUUUCUUUAAAAUUUAGUAAACUAGUGAGACUAAUUAUUUUGUUCUUCCAUUAAAGGUGUGUUUGGUUUGGCAAUAUUUUGACUUUUGUUCUUCCAAAUGCUGGUCCAAAUAAUCGGUGGUGCGUUUUCUCUUGAAGCACUUGAGCCUUUUAAAAGCAUUUUUAUGUGCUUUUAACAAAAGUGAUCCUGAGUAAUCAUGCUUCCUCCAUAAGCACUUUGAAAUAUGUAGUAAGUCAUAGCUAGCGACGAUCACCUUCAAAUAAUUUGAGUGGUACUCUUUGGCUUUUCCAUUAUUCAAAGUAUAUAUGAAGGCCAAGAAAAGCUUGUAUGAGAGAGUUUCGCCUCUCCACAUGUUGCCUAUUUGUUUAGGAGUGCAUGGUUAUAUGAGUUAUGCACGUGUUAGGCUCAAAUUAUGACACAUGCAAGGGCAUGAAAGAUAAUCAUUGCAUAAGAGUUUAUAUAAUCGUAAACUUUAUAAAUACGUUGUCAAUUAAUUCAGAGCUGGAUGCUUGUAAUCUAACAAUUUGCAAUAAUGGGUUUCUCACUUUUUUUUCUUCUAGUUUUUCGUUUUCCUUCCCCUUGAUUAACUUUGAGGACCACAACUUUAGGGUUUAAUGUACAGUACCCUUUAAUAAGAAAGGUAUCGGUGACCUUUAAGUGAUCGAUGUUUUUGAAAUGUAAUAGCAUAACAUCGUAAUAUAACAUUCUUUGUACAAUAAUACAAUUUCAUAUUAUGUGCUGGUGUUAAUUAUAUAACCUUACCAGAUUAUGUAACUUGUGAUUGUAAACUUUGACAAUUAUAUUGUAACUUUAUAUUUUUAGUGUUUCACGUUAAAUACUACUAAAAUCCGCCAUUGGAAUGUUGAAAAAAAUAAUUUAUAUUGUGUGGGUCGACUUCUUAUUAUGCCGACCCAGCUGACUUUAAUGAUGACCGUACACCAUGAAUCUUCCUUAGAUGAAUAAGAUUACAAACCCAAACCCCAAAAUGUCAUAAAAUAACCCUAAUGCUAAAAAAAUGUAACUUAACCGUAGAAACCCUUGGUGUUCCGAUAAGAAAUGAACAAUAUAUAUACACUCUUGCUGGAUUUCAGCUGGCAUGAUUUAUUUUACUCAGGUUUUUUCCUAUCACUCAUAUUUUAUGGGCUACAUCAAAUUCAUAAUCCAAUCAAAAGGGCUAAUACAUUAUACAAGUAAUUGCAUCACAUGCUUGAAGACCGAUUCCAAUGUUGCUGUGGGAGGUGUCGUAGGGGUUUCUUCCUUUAGUUUUUGUUUUGCUUGACAACCCCCCACCACCACCCCCCCCGCCGCUCCUCUGCAUAAAGCAGUUCAUAAAUUCAACGAAAAUUCUGAUUUUUCUCCGGACACAACGGCAAAGAUCAAAUGUAGAUACAUCACAUAAAACUGACAUACUUGGUUAAACGAAGCACCAUCAACAGAAAACAAAUUUGAACGAAACACCACCAUCCUAACUUAAACCAAGCGCCAUCUACAAGCAUGGAUACUUUAAGGUAGCACUCUUCCCGAUCCCCUCUUUUAUUCUAUCCUCAUAUUAAUUUAACAAGUUAUUCUCCUCGAAUCAAGAUUACUAAAGAAUAAAAUGCUAGUAUUACAGCAUAACUAAUGACAUCUGUUGAUCUGGUAUAUGUUGGAUUUUGGGCCUAAAUUCUAAACUAUUUGUCAUUAAGUGCUAGGAAAGAUGGAUUAAUAUUCUCAAACCAUAUUUGUUUAUCUCACGUUGGAAUAAUUAAACACAAGGUUCCAAAUUGAAACACUUGUUCAUGGUGGCUAUGGGAUUAAGCCUUGGAUUAGUUAAUUCCAUGUUAUCGUUUUAAAUUCUCAAUGAUUGUUCUCCCAUUUAAUUGACAGUUGACAACAAAUUAAUUUAUCUAAACGACAGAUUACGGCUUAAACCGUUUGCUAAUUAGAUAGUUUAGAGAUGGGUUGUUUGAAUUAGUCCCAAAUAAGCAGUGUAAACAAAUGAUAAUCAUGUUUUUAACAUUAUAUGAUUAGCAUUAUAUUCAACAAAAUCAGGAACUCAUUUAUUUUUUGCAACUUUGGUGUGGUCUAAGCUGUUAAGUCCACCCCAAUGUCUUAUUUCCACACCCAUUAUAAAAUGAUACUUUUAUUGACAAAUUUAUCCUAAUAUAAAAUGACCUUUAAAGACCUAAAAACCAACCAAUCAUGUCUUGCCACAUAAUUAUUAGUUAUAUUGAUUCUUUUUAAACAAAUUAUUAGUUAUACUAAUAAAAAAAAACCUAAAAUAUCAUAAAUAAGAAAAAGAAAAAAAAUAUCAUGAACCCCACAAGCUUUCCUGGGGAAGGAAGUUCAGAAAUUAAACUUAUCAAGAAGAGGGUGAAUUCGGUCUUGACAAAGCAAAGCCUCGAGGCUCGCAAUAAAGCGCAUGUUGUGGAAGGUGUGAUCAAGCUUCACCAGAGAGUAGAGCAAGUUAGUCUUCAUGACUAUUAUAAUGUUGAGAUAGAUGAGGAGAGAAGCUCAUAGUCCAGAUUACAUUAAGGGACUCACGGAUCCGACACUCGUUGAACUCCGAUCGUGUUUGGUGUUUUGGAACAAUUUGGAUACCUACCAUAUACUAAAUUUGGAGGAAUUUGAUGUUAGGGAAAGCCAGUGCAACACCAAACUAUGAGUGAAGCUCUUCCAAUUUAAUCACACUCUCUCUUGUGUAGUUUGAAUUCAAAUGGAAACAAUAGAAAUUGGGUACUGGAGUGGUUUUCGAGACGUGGUGGUGCUGUGAUGGUUGGCGAUAGAGGAGAGGCGCUUGGUGUUGGGGAUUUGGGGAGUCGGUAGUGACGGUUCUGCAAAUUUUCUGGGGAGAGGGCUGCUGCUGGUGAUAUUUGGAGUUCUUGGGUAUUUUCAUUUAGUGGUAAUUGUUUUUUUUUUUUAAUUUGUAAUAAUUUUUUUAAAGCCAGAAAAAUUGAAAAAGAAGUAUGUAGGGUUAUUUUGGAAAUAAUGGUGGUGGGAAAAGAGUUGAUGUGUUUUUUCACUUUUUAUGAUGGAUGUAAAUAUAAGGUGGGUGGGGAAACAAGACAUUGGGAUAGGCAUACUCUUUGUCGUAAACAAAGAACUAUUCAAAUGGUAUGCAAAAUAGAGUUCUCAAUUUGAACAGUAAUGACGUUAUUUCAGCCACUAAUGGUGUAUUCUUUUAUUUUAUUUUAUCUAAACAGUAUUUUACAAUAUAUUCUUCUGAACUGUUAUUUUAUUUCAAUAUAUGUUAUAUAAAUUAGUUUCACUAUUCAAAUCAACUAUUAAUAAACAAGUGCAUUUUUUUUUGGUUAAUAAAUUUUACUGAAAAUAUGAGUACACCUCUUGAAAUUCAAUUUUCUUUAAUUAAAACUCAUCAUGAUAAAUUUCUCUAACAAAAACCCAAUGAUUAGGCCCCAACUAAGCAAUAUCCAUAAUUAAGUUAUGACUUGACAAAAUUUGUUUUUUUGGAUGUCUAAAUUACCCCUAAUAACACUUACUUUGGGUAUCUCACUUAUUAUCUACAUUUAUUUUACAUUAUUUCAUUCACUUAAACGGAGAUUUGGAAAAAAAAUUUAAAUGUCAUGAUUCCUAUGCAUUUAAUAGCAAAAAUUUACAUGAUACCAACGUUCCUUAUAUAGUUGUUUUCACAUGAUGCUAACUGUAACAUCUCACAUCGCCCAGGGGAGUGGAUCCUCUAAGCGUUAUAUGUAUAUUCUCAUCUCUACCUAGCACGAGGCAUUUUGAGAGCUCACUGGCUUCGGGUUCCAUAGGAACUUCGAAGUUAAGCGAGUUCGUGCGAGAACAAUCCCAGGAUGGGUGACUCACUAGGAAGUUCUCGUGUGAGUUCCCAAAAACAAAACCAUGUGGGCAUGGUUGGGGCCCAAAGCGGACAAUAUCGUGCUACGGUGGAGUCGAGCCCGAGAUGUGGUGGGGGCCUGGGCCGGGAUGUGACAAUUUGGUAUCAGAGCCAAUCCAUGACCAGAAGUGUGCCGAUGAGGACGUCGGGACCCUAAGGGGGGUGGAUUGUAACAUCCCACAUCACCAAGGGAGUGGAUCCUCUAAGCCUUAUAUGUAUAUUCCCAUCUCUACCUAGCACGAGGCCAUUUGGGAGCUCACUGGCUUCGGGUUCCGUAGGAACUUCGAAGUUGAGCGAGUUCGCGUGAUCCCAAUCCCUGGAUGGGUGACCCACUGAGAAGUUCUUGUGUGAGUUCCCAGAAACAAAACCUUGAGGGCAUGGUCGUGGCAAAAAACGAACAAUAUCGUGCUACGGUGGAGUCGAGCCGGAGAUGUGGUGGGGGCUCGGGCCGGGAUGUGACACUAACAGGUAAAUUAGUAUAUCCUACAAAUAUAAAAAAGUUAUUUUAUUCAAAAUUAUCAAUAUUUUAAAUGUAACAUAGGUAAAUUAUUUUGCACAACAUAUAUAACAAUAUAAGUUCCUAGUAAAUUAUGUAAUGACACAUGCAAAAUAAUUUACCUACAAAAUAAAUAAAUAUUUUUUGUUCAAAAUUAAUUAAAUACCAAUAUUUUGCAAAAAAAAAAUAUAUAAAACAAUUUACCUACAAAAUAAAAGAAUGUCGAUUGAUUGCACACUCUAUAUAAUAAUAACAAAAUGUGGCUAGUAUAUAUGUAAUAUCACAAGAAAAAUAAUUUACCUACAAAAUAAAAGAAUGUCGAUUGAUUGCACACUCUAUAUAAUAAUAACAAAAUGUGGCUAGUAUAUAUGUAAUAUUUUUUCGCCUAUUGAUUCAAAUUAAUUAAUUACAUAUUAUUUUCCAUAAAAAUAUAGAUAAAUUAUUUGUACACAUCAUAUAAUUUUGACAAUAUGUGUCUAUUACAUACAUGCAAAAUAAUUUACCUACAAUGAUUGUCAAACAAAUAAAAGAAAUGAAACAUAUGAUGGCAAGCGAAGUAUAAAGUAAAUAAUUUUAUAAUAAUAAGGCACUUAUAUCUCACAAUUAUGGUGGAUAAUUAAAUUGAUUAACAUAAUUAGAGUGUUGUGGCACAAUUGUAAAUAGUUUGAAAAUAAUAGGUAUUUAUUUGUUUACAUGGCAGCCUACUUCAAAUUUGGGUUUUAUUUGGAUGUUUAAAAUGAGAUUGGCUUUUGUCAAGGAAAUCAAUGUUGCAUGGCCUUAUAUUUAAAGAACCCAAAAUUUUAUGUAUUGUUGCAGUCAUAUUUAGAAUAGAAAUGUGAUUGUGUAAGUGUAUCUAGGGAUAUCUUUGAAUAUUCUCUUUAGUAGUUAAUAUCCUAUUAAGAGUUGUAAUCCUAAAAGGGUAAGGAUUUAACCUAUCAUAGUACUAUAAAUAAAGGCACUAUGGCAUGAUACAACACAUCUCACAAUUAAAUCUCUCUCAUUUCUCUCUUGUUGCCGCCGACCUUCCCCUCUCUAUUCCCUUAGAAUAGUUCAGUUAAAUAGACCUACAACAUAUUAUUAGCAUGCUCUUGCCAAAAGCUAAGGAAUUGAAGGAUCGUAGGAGGAGGCUCUCUUCUACAAAAUUCAAAGGCUUUUAUUUGUUUUCUGCCAAUAAGGUAAGCUUAAAAUAAAGGAAGAUAUUUGAAACGACCAUGAAGCAUGAAAACAUUCCCCAUGAUGCAUGAACCCCCUAUGUUUAUAUUUUCCUUUCGAUAUAUAUAUUGUGUAUGUUUCAUAUAUUUGUCAAUAUAUAUGUUUCAUUACACAAUUAUAUUGCUUUGUGGAAUUUGUGAGUCAAAGCAUAUAAAUAAAUUAGAAGCAAUUUAGGGUUUUUCAAACCCUAGUUAUGUCGAAAAAAAAAAAAAUUGGGAAACUAUGCGGCACAGCCACCGCACCACCUUAGCACCUCCGCCGAACAUCGCCGUUGGCUUGAAGCCCAACUGCAUGGAGCACAUCAUGGAACGGUGUUGUUAUGACACCUUAGACCAUAUGGCAACAACCUUUUGUGCUUUGUUGCGCCGACAUAUACAUGUUAGGCCUUCGGCCUGAUAGGCUUACACGUGCCUAAAGCCCCGCAACCCAAACCGAGAAGCCUGCAGCCUUCUUGGACCUUGUCCCGCGCGUCCCUGGCCUAACUCCAGCAACCUUUGCUGCUAGGCUUCUUCUUGUCCCAUGAUUUGGCCUGCCUGCAGCAUUCUAUAACAAGCUAGGCUUUGCCCAUCCCUCGGCCCACUUGCCCGAAACUCAGCUUCGGUUGGGCUUCCAUGCACCCACCCGCAAACCAGCUUUGGGUUGGGCUUGCCUCAUGCCUUGUUUUUGGCCUAUAAGCAAGUAGCUUUUGCUGCUGGGCUCCCCAGACCACACGGCCCAGAGGUCUGAAGCCCUCCUAUGACCCAAUCAGCCUGCAGUCGAAUUGCAGGGCCCACUCCCAUGUUAUUUUUUCGACCCAAUGCCACUUUUUGGCAUCCCCACGUUAUAAAUCAUGCCCAAAAUAAUUUUUGGGGUACUUUGGUUUACGAUAAUUUAUCCUAAUUUAAUUAUCACUUGAUUUUUCACCAAUCGAAGCUAAUAUGACCUAUUUGUCAUUACUUUGCUUCCACGAUCGACCCCGUUUGGUCCCGAUCCAUUGAAUUAAUUAAAAGUGACCUACAAUCCAUUAAUCUGAUCAUUAAUCCAAAAUUAUUGACCUAAGUAUCACUUUUGGACAUUAACGAUUCAAAAAUUUAUUUUUAUACUUUGAACCGUUGACAUCCUUUCCUAGUCCCCAAGCUCUCACACUUGAGUUCUUACAGCAACUCAAAUCCACUACACUUAAAUCAGCAUAUUGCAUUAUGUGUUCUUGCAGGAACCUCUCCCUUAUGAACUAAUCAUUCAUAAAACUAAAUUGAACAUGUAGUUUCAUAUUUAGUGCCUUUGAAACCCGAAGUUUUCAUUCAAAACUUACCACAUGAAACCUGUAGCUUUCAUGCAUAAAUUAAACCAAUACAUGUCUAUAGAACCUAAAUGUUCUACGAUGUAUAUCUAUGGAUUACUAUAUGAUUAACUACGUUUUUUUGUACCAUCUGCUUUAGGGACAUGUAGAACUUGAACAAGCUCAAUUUCAUCGCUCUAGAAGUAUAUGGAAGAAACUACCUGAAGUGGGUUCAAGACAUGAAGCUCCAUCUUACUGCAAAGGGUAUUAGAGCCACCAUCGGGGCACCUAUUGACGACAAACUUGUCGAUGAAGGUCAUAAAGCUAAUGCAAUGAUCUUCAUUUGAAGACACAUCCAUGAUGCACUGCAGACAGAGUACCUCGCUGAGGAGGACCCAUGCACUCUCUGGCUGACCGUUUCGAUUACCAAGAAGACAUCUACUUGCUUAAAGCAAGACACAAGUAGCAACAUCUUCGUUUCCAAUACUUGAAUGAAUACAACUAUGAAGUUUGUAGAAUUUGAUCACUACUUAAGUUCUGUAAAGUGAAACUAACUGAAUCAGAUCUCUUGGAAAAGACCUAUUCGACCUUCUAUACCACAAAUAUUGUCCUACAACAACAAUAUAGGGCACAGAACACCAAUUUUUUGGAUUUGAUCUCUGUUUUACUUCUCGUUGAAAAGCAGAACUAGCUUUUGAUGAAAAAUAAUCAAGCUCGACCCAUUGGCUCGAACGCAGAGCCUAAAAUGCAUGCGACCAAUUCUAGCAGCCACAAAUGAUGCAAAAAUCGUCGUGGCCAUGGAAAGGGGCGGCAAGCCCAACCACGGGCCCAAGGUUCACAUAAUCAAGGCCCACCCAAGGGAGUAAAUAUGACCCAGCAGUGCCAACCCUUUGCACCUAAGGCCCCAAACUUCAAGAAUAAGGGAAAAGCUACCGUUUAAUUGGCUUCUACUGAAAUAGACAUGUGCUACCACUGUGGAUCAAAGGAUCAUUGGUCACACGUAUGUUGAGCUACCCUUUAGGCCAUUGCCAAGUAUCAUUCUUGUUGUGAGUCUAACUUUGCACAUGUGGAUCAUCCCGAAGAUACUACUACAUCCAUGGAGAUAUCAAAUUUUCAGGAGGCAUCAGCUCCUAUGGAAAAAUAAGUUUUAUUCUUCUAGACAUGUUUUUAGGAUGUUUUACCCCUAGUGGCCGAACCUACUAGGUGUGGUCGGACCUCCCCUAAUUUCUAGGUUUAUGGUUUAAUUUUUGGACAAUUUUUCUAAGUAUUUGGAAUAAUUUGUUUGGUUUUGGUUUGUUUUGAAUUAUGGAUAAUUGUUUUAUGGAUAUUAUUUCUUGAAUUGAUUAAUUGAAUGAAUGGAAUUAUAUUUAUGCAUGUGACCAAUUCAAUCAAUUUAUUUCUAGGUAUAUGUCUAGUGGGAAAAUUAAUUGUCUGGCUGAUAGUGCGGCACACCAUAUUGCGCGAGUGACAUUAUUUUACUAACUUUGUACCUAAGAAAGCACAUCUGACAACUCUCUUAGGCUCAUCCAACCUAAUUGAAGGAUACGGAAAGGCUCGUAUCACGUUGUCUAAUGGUAUUGUCUUAACCAUUACAGAGGCCCUCUAUUCUUCAGGUUCCGGAAGAAUGUUGUUGAGUUUUAAAGGUAUUUGAGAUAAUCAAUAUCAUAUAUUGAAAUCACUAAACAUAAUGGAUAUGAAUUUCUUUAUAUCACGAGUAUGGCCAGAAGUGUAUUCACGAGAAGUUGGAACGUCUCCUGAGUAGGUUGCACAUAACAACCAUUCGCUGCAUAAAAGCCCACCAUAUGGCCGACCUUGUGCCUAAGUUCCAGAGCACUUUGCUGCUUUGGCAUGACUGUAUAGGACAUUUCGGAUGUGACAUGAUACGCCGUGUCUUCAAAUCAUCACAUAGGCAUCAUUUACCUCCUUACGUUGGAUUCCCGCCAUGCAAAGCGUGUUCUUUGGGGAAGUUGAAUACUCAACCCUCGAUUACAAAGAUUAUUCAAAACCCUCUUAAGUUUUUUCAAAGGAGUCAAGGGGAUAUUUGUGGACCUAUCCAACCAACAUGAAAACCAUUUCGCUACUUUAUGGUGUUGGUUGAUGCAUCGAUACGAUGGUCAAAUGUUUGCCUAUUGUCCACACGUAAUGCUGCAGUUAUGAAACUUCUAGAAUAAAUUAUUAAGCUAAAGGCUCACCACCCUAAUUAUCCGAUCAAGUCGAUUCGACUGGAUAACACUUGAGAGUUUACAUCACAUACUUUUGACAAUUAUUGCAUGACAGUAGGGAUUGAAGUGGAACAUCUUGUACCCCAUGUUCACACCCAAAAUAGCCUGGCAGAAGUUUUCAUAAAGCACAUUCAAUUGAUAGCUUGGACUUUGAUUAAGCGAACAAAAAUGCCAGUAUCUUCCUAGGGCUAUACAAUAUUGCACGCAGCUAUGUUGGUCAACCUGAGGCCUACCGCUACCCAACCUCAUUCACUGUUACAUUUGGUUACUGAAUACAAGUCUGACGUCUCACAUUUAUGUGUGUUCGGGUGUGCGGUUUAUGUGCCAAUAACACCGCACUACGUUUUAAAAUGGGUCCUCAGAGAAAAAUGGGAAUAUAUGUCAGUUAUGAUUCGCCAUCAAUUAUUCGCUAUUUAGAGCCCUUAACAAAAUAUCUUUUUACCGCACGUUUUGCAUAUUGUCACUUUGUGAAACAGUCUUCUUGUCGUUCGGGGAGAUAAGCAUGCUAACGUUACUGGAGAAUGUCGCGAAUUGUCGUGGUAUGCUCAUACUAUGCCUCAUCUAGAUCCCUGCACUGCCCAGUUUGAAACUGAGGUGCGACAAAUUAUAGAUCUUUAGAGCAUUGUUCAAAGCAUGCCAGAUGCUUUUACUGAUCUAGCAAAGGUGACAAGAUCACAUAUACCUGCUACAAACGCACCUGCAAAGAUAAAUGUACCCCGCGUACGUCAUAAUCCCAUCUGGGAAGGCUGGACCGUCCCAAAAUGUGGGGAAGCCGCACCUUCCAUAUGGCCCGGUCAUUGAAGGCUAGCCAAUCAUCUGUUCCGACCCUGAAGCAUGGCAAACCCCCUGGUUCAAAGGAUUCACAACCCAGGAAGAGGAAAUCAAUAUCAAAUAGUGACCCUAGUUUGAAUCCGACCAUCGCUCACUCAUCUGUUCUAACGCAUGAGGUUAUUAUAGAUUACGGUGAUGUCUUAGAUGAGAUAACCCGACCUUCCGAGAAUCGUGAGAUUUCGAUCCACUACGUAGUAUUGGAUGAGGUUUGGAAUCGGAAUGAGAUGAUCGUCGACGAUGCAUUUGCGUACACAGUAGCUACUAAAAUUAUGUUUAAUGAUGAUAUUGAACCACAUUCUACUGCUGAAUACCAAUGUAGAACGGAUUGGUCAAACUGGAAAUAAGCAAUCUAGGUUGAACUCGAUUCGCUUGCGAAACGUAAGGUGUUUGGACCUAUAGCUCAUACUUUACCAUAUGUGAAGCCCGUGGGCUAUAAUUAGGCUUUUGUGAGGAAGCGUAAUGAGAAGAACGAAAUAGUGUGAUACAAAGCACACCUCAUAGCGCAAGGCUUCUCUCAGCGCUCUAGGAUUGAUUACGAGGAGACGUAUUCCCCCGUAGUGGACGUCAUAACGUUCCGCUACCUAAUCAGUUUGGUAGUUUCUGAAAAACUACAGAAAUAUACAUGAAAGUUCUAGAAUGACUUCCAUUGACUGGUUUAAAUAGUUCUAGACCAUGGAACACUCUCUUGAUUAGAUUAAGGAGGUUAUUCUCUAGAUUGAAACAAUCCAGGAAAAUGUGGUAUAACCGUUUGAGUGAAUAUUUGAAAUGUCAGGGUUAUGUGAACAACGAAUUAUGCCCAUGAGUGUUCAUAAAGAAGUCACAUUCCGAAUUUAGGAUCGUUACAGUUUAUGUCGACAUGAACCUCAUCGGAACUCCUGUAGAGCUUGAGGAAAUUACCGCUUACUUGAAAUCGAAAUUUAAGAUUAAAGAUCUUGAGAAAACUCGAUAUUUCCUCGGCCUGGAGAUCGAGCAUUGUUCAGAUGGAAUCCUAGUACAUCAAGCGAACUACACCCAAAAGGUGUUAUGACGUUUUAAUGAGGAUAAAGCGAAGCUUUCGAGUACUCCUAUGGUCGUUCGGACUCUAGAUGCUAAACGAGAUCCCUUCCAUCUAAAGGAGGAUGAGGAAGAGAUUUUGGAACCUAAAGUUCCAUACCUAAAUGCAAUUGGGGCUUUAUUGUACUUGGCUCAAUACACUAAACCUGACAUCUCUUUUGCUGUUAAUCUUUUGGCUAGAUACAACAAUGCACCUACACGCAGACACUGGAAUGGUGUUAAAGACAUUUUUUGCUACCUUAAGGGUACGACGGAUUUGAGCUUGUUCUAUACCCACGAAUCCUCAAGAUGUGCCGGCCUCCUCGGUUCUCGAGUUGAUUCCUGCCUUGUUGGUUUUUCAUAUGUUGGAUAUCUGUUUGACGCGUAUAGGGCACGUUCUCAAACAAGCUAUGUCUUUACCGUUAGAGACACCGCUAUAUCUUAGAGGUCUACCAAACAAAUGCUAGUUGCAACUUUUUCAAACCAUGCUGAGAUUCUCGCCCUGCAUGAAGUAUCGCGUUAGUGUUUUUGGUUGAGAGCAAUCAUGGAACAUAUUCGAAGCACUAGUGGUCUACUGCCAUUAUUGACCUUCCUAUGAUGAUCUUUGAAGACAAUUCAGUGUGUAUCAAGUAGUUAAAUAAGGGAUAUAUCAAAUAAGGCAACACCAAGCAAAUAUGUUCCCAGACAACCUGGCCGAUCUCUUCACCAGUCAUUGCCCAAGUCUACGUUUUAGAAGCUCGUCCAAGGAAUCGGUAUGCGUAAACUAUCUGAGUUGGAUCGCUUGUAGUUCUCUUAUUUGAGGUUUUAACAAGACACCCAUUUUGGGAUGAUCAUACUCCGUUGAGUUCUCUUAUUUGAUGUUUGUUUUAGACAUUAUGCAUACUUCUCACUUUUCUCCUUAGUCUAUGGGUUUUUCUCCUACCUUGGGUUUUACCAUAGUGAGGUUUUGUGAGUUUUACUACCAAUGCAUACUUUCUUUCAAAUUUAAGACUCGCAUUCACCCGUUGUGCCGUUGACUUCAUCAACUGUUCUACCUUAUCUGCUGAAGAUCUGAUGCAAUGUUUAGUUAAGCAUUUACACACUCAAAGAGGAGUGUUGCAGUCAUUUUUAGAAUAGGAAUGUGAUUGUGUAAAUCCUAGUGUAUCUAAGGAUAUCUUUGAAUAUUGACUUUAGUAGUUAAUAUCCUAUUAAGAGUUGUAAUCCUAAAAGAGUAAGGAUUUAACCUAUCCUACUACUAUAAAUAAAGGCACAAUGGGGUGAUACAACACACUUCACAAUUAAAUCUCUCUCUUUUCUCUCUUGUUGCUGCCGGCCUCCUCCUCUCUAUUCCCUUAGAAUAGUUCAGUUAAAUAGGUCUACAACAUGUAUAUCUAUACUACCUUAUGUAGAAUAUUUUUUCUAAACAAAGAUAAAUACCAUUAUAUCCUUCCAUACAUAAUUUUAAAAAAUCUGGAAAAAGAAAUAAAAGUAAUUUCGUACUAAAAAAAUAUUUUCAUUUUUUAUUCCCCCCUCCAUGACACACCCCGACCCGGGAUAUCCAUGUGGACCCUGAAUCAAGUUGUGAUGGUCGACCCCCGGAAGGUAACGAAGCCAUAAAGUGUAGUGAAGUGAAAAAGGUGAAUAAAUUUAAACCUAAAGAUGCCUAAAUGUAAAAGUGCGCUUAUGAGUGAGAAUGAACCCAUUUCACAUGUGAUGUCAGAGCAUAAGGACAGUAAAAUUAGAAUGAGAAUUAUACCAUCGAAGGUAAUCUCCAAUACCAAGAUUUGCCAAGAAUCCUUGUUGACACGAAAGCUUAGCUACAAAAACCUUGAGGGGCGAAAAACAAGGGUGAGUAGGCCUAAAAAUAAAGUUUUGUAAAACCUUUUCGAAAACAUAAUAACCCAUCACCGUAAAACAAGUAUAGUUUCCAAAUUAUACAUACUACGUAUAGUAUGAAAAUACUUACCAUAGCCUACAAUAUCUCAAGUAUUCAGUACGUCACUACAUUGCGUAAAUAAACACCUAACGUCCAAUAAUUAUAUAAUCUCUCAUAACAAACAUAUCAUAUUGAGUGCUCAUCGACAUAUGCUGGCACACAAGUUCAUGCAGAGGUAUUUUGACAUGAACAUGACUAGGUGUAAAGAAAUGAUUUACACUUUAGUACUAUAAUCAUGUGAAGACUGGCACUAUGCGCAUCACAUAUGAGUCCUAAUUGCCUAUAGAAAUCUCGGACAGGACUGGCAUCUACAAAGGAUCUAAAGUGAGCGUAUGGUGCAAUGUGAACAUACACUUGAAGCUUGACCCUGGCCUAGGCGAGCACAAACACCAGUGUAGCACACGAUGAGCAGAUAAUAUAAUUAUGAUCAUAUAAUGAUAAAUCGAUAAUUCUAGUCAACCAUAACACUAUUCAUGGCCACAAAUAUAAUUAAAGCAUCCCAUAACAAUAUACAUACUUGUGUAUCCUGCAGGAUUCAGAAUAAUUUCAUAAUUCUUAACACUACGACCCUUCUUAUAAGCGUUAAACUAAUUAUGGCAAUCACGUUGAAAAAUUCUUUAUUAUAUAUAUAUAUAUAUAUAUAUGUGGAAACUAAACAAACAAAUAUAUAUACUAUAAAAAAGAAAAGACUCACUCAUAGAUACUUGCAAAGAUCGUCGAUGCUAAUCGUACCUAAGCAUAAUAGAGACCCAUUAGUAAAACUCAAUUAAAACAUUUGAAUUUGGAGAAACGGAUAGCGGACUGGAAAUCAGUGCGUCGAAAUACGUUAAGAAGGGUCCCCGGUAAAUUUUGCAUAAAGCCAACAGUCAACCUAAAAAGUCAACUGAGCCGCCCUAGCGGUCAACUAUGUUAAAACUUUGGAACUUCACUAAAUGGAUGUAAAAAGCAGACUUGAGGCAUCGAAAUUAGCCUAAGAGGGUUUUCGUGAAAAUUUUGAAAAAAUCAACUCAAGGAAUAUUCCAUAGAAAAUUCAAGGAAUAUUCCAAAUCCAUUAAGAAGUAAGCUAGACUGGAUCUUAGGUUAAUGGGUUAACAGGUUUUCGGCUUAGGGCUUUUUUUUUUCUUUUUUCUUUUUCUUUUCUCGACCGGGUGCCGCUGCAACCGUUGGAACCUAAAGAUUUGGCCAGGGUUUGUGUUCGCGGUGUGAAGCAUCAGGCUUGGUUCUUAUUCGCGAUGAUUACGUGCCGUAAACAGAUGGUGGUCAAGAUGGUUCGCCAUGAAACAUGGUGUCGAUGGUCGCCAUUAUCGUCUCUGAGCAGUGAGUAGAGUAGGUGAGGGAGACAGAGGGUCCAAGUGAUAGUGUGGCUUUGGGGUUCUUUUGUGUCUUCGUAGAGGAGAGUUAAAGAUGUUGAUCAAAUGAGUGGUCGGUCUCGCUGGAGUUGGUGAGGCUGGUGGUUCACGGGGAGGAGAACGAGAGAGAUGAAGGUGCAAAAGAGGUGAGAGUGUAGAAAGAGAGAUAGCGGAAAGUGUGGGAGAAGAGAGAGGGAUCCAAAUGUUUUGCAGAUGACUGACACGUAGGAAGAGAUGAUGGGAGAGUUUGGUGGUGUGGUGUAACAACCCGUCCUGGAAUUUACAAAACGAAAGGGCUUUUUUGUAAUUUCACUGAGUUUGGGAUAUUUAUUUUGAAUUUAUGCUUUUGGUAUUAAUUGGUCUGCCUAAGGGGGCCCACCCUUGAUGUUGUCCCCCCGACCCAAAUCCCUCAACUCUCUCUCUCUCUUUCGCAGCUUACUCUCAUUCUCUCUCUCUCUCUCCCUAUCCGUGAGCAACACCCAUACCCACACACACCUACAUACUUGCUAGGAGGCAACCUAGCUGGGUUUGUGUUCUUUCCUUUUAAUUUUGUCUUUUUGGUUUUCUUUUAUUUUCAUUCCAUGUGCACUCUACCUAUUCGCAUUGCAUGAUUUCCUUUCAUUUUUUAGCAUUGAGGACAAUGCUUAGUUUAGGUUUGGGGGUGUUGGAAAUUGAAAAUUUUCUUUUGCUUUUACAUUUUGGUUAAAGUUUGCUUUUGCUUAUUAAUGUGAAUGUAUAUGAUGGCUGUGUAUACAAUCUAACUAUGGUGUUGUCAUGAAAAGUUCCAUAUCAUAAUUUUUGUAGUUCACAAAGUUAUUACUCUUGAAUUAUGAUGGUAAAAGUAUCAUGCUCAAAUUCUGGAAGAAUAAUAGUGGAGACUACCCUAGUGAGUUAUUUUGAGCCUAUUUGCUUCUUUGAGAGGGUUUAAAAGUGUUUCUGCUCCUAUCUUUUUCUUUCAGAUUCACUUUAAAUGAUCUCAUUAUUUCUUAUUGAUUGAAUGCUAAGAAUAAUUCACUGUUGCAGAUACCAUGUGUUUAACCUAUGAAUGAACUCAUUGAGAUGAUGUUAGGCUAUGCAUGUUUUAACCACUAAAAGGCCUAAUUCCCAUCCCUUUGUGUGCUCCAUUCACCCUUGUUGUAGCCGAACACUUUUAACAUGAUUCUUCCAUCACCCACACCAAACUCUACCCAUCUUAGUGCAUUCCAGCCAUACCUUAUAGUUUGGGGAAUACCAAAGUGAUGAAGACAAAGAUAGAUUGAGCUCUAGACUAAGAACAUGGAUAACAUGUGUUGGAAUUGUAAAAAAAUAAAAAAAUAAAAAAAAAUACAGAAAAAAAAAAUUAAAGAAGAAGCAAUUCCCAAAUAUUCCCAUUAUUAUGAUGGGUCCUGGACGCCAAGAACAAAUAAGAAAGACCAAUUCAAGUGAAGAACUUACUGGUUUCACAACAUAUACACUUUGGUAUGUCCCAUACUAUAGUAUUUCCUAUCCAUUCUUUCAUAGCCCCUAGCCUAAGCCUUACAUUACAACCUUGUGAAAGACCUAGCUGAUCUUUGGGGAUAUAUUCAUGGGUGCUAGUAAGUAUGUGUGCUAUCCAUACUCUUAGUGUUUGAUUCCUUUCAUGAGAUAUAUUCAUAAAUUGUGCUUUUAUUUCAUAUUUCAUAUGUGAGAAUUUUGAUUCCCUUUUACAUAACUUCACUCACAUAUGUUUGAUGAGAGACAAAACCUUAGAUCUAAAUUUGAGUGACAAUCUAUGAGAAUUAGAGUUGAGGCGAAUUCUAUCUUCAGUCUUUGAGUAUGGUGCUUUUGAAGUCAUGAGUCAUGGAGCAAUACUUUUACACUUCACACAUGAUAUGAUUCUUUGAAGUGGUAGUGUUUUGUUUGAUGGUAUGACUAAGCAUUCAUUGGUUCUUAUUAGUUUGUUUCAAGUGAGUUUUAACCUAUUUAUUUGUCGAGUCUGUAGAUGUUUGUGGGCGUCAUCGCUGUAAACCCUCAGGAGACACAACUCCUCCUACUAGGGACACCUAGAGGUUUAAAGGAUUGUUGCACAUGCUCAUUGCAAUCAUUUAGCCAGCAAACGUGGUCUAGUUAGAUUUUUCUUUGUUUUGUUUGUUUUCAGUUUAAUUUUGCUCGAGGACUAGCAAAAAUCAGGUAUAGGGGUAUUUGAUAACUAAUAUAUUUCAUAUAUUUAUACCAUCCAUUCCUAGUCCCUUUGUGAUAUUUUUGAGUUAAACUAGUUGCAUUUUACCCUCUUUUGUGUUAGUGUGCAGCUAAUCGUAUUUUGGAGCUCAGUUGAGGACAAAUAAGGCAAAAUGCUGCUAAAAGUGGAGAAUUGAAUAAAGAUGCUGAUGUAGACAAAUAAUUAAGUGGAAACUGAAUAUGUUGAUGAAUAUGGCUCCUUAUAAGACCAAUAAUAGCAAAAAAAUGUGGGAAUUAAAUGCCCAAGUACUGGGAUGUAUUAGCAAUCUGUAACAACCUAUUUAAACAUCAUAAAACCUAGUCUUUCAUCCACUUUUACACAGACCUUUCAUUCUGAGAGAAUUUCACAACUCCAGUCACUAUUUUUCUCUCUUUGAUCCACACUCAAAACUCCACCCAUUAUAUACACUCCAACAUCACCAAAGACUCAUCCCGAAAGGCUAUUCUUGGAGAAGUUCAACAUCAGAAUUGCUUCAAGGGUUUCCUCUCUCUUUGAUUUAUUUUCACUCAUGUUGUGUAUUUCCAAUUUCAUCUCUAUGAACAUGAUGUGUAACUAAAUUCAUAGCUAGGGAUUUCAAUGUAACCUUGCACAAUUGACCCAUGAUUUUAUGUUAAAAUAUUCAAUUCAUCAAUCUGUCUCUUGUUUCAUUCACUGAAUCUUGUUAAAUAUGUUUGUUAAUUUUAAUGAUUGAUCACCAUUAGGAUUUCUUACAGAUCAUUUGAUCAAGAUUAUAGUAAACAUCAUGCUUAAUCUUGGUAGACAUGUGAAUGAAUGAAGAGAAUGUUAUGCAAGCAUCCUGCCAUGUAUUUUCUUUGGUUCUUUAACGUUUUCUUGCAUGCUAAAGACUCUUAAUUUGGAACCGAAGUUGAACAUCCCAAUUAGGUUAAAGAUUAGGAGAAUUUGAUUAAAACCACACAUCAUAUGGUUGAUCAUAUAUAUGUAAAAUGAACUCUGGAAACAGGUUGGUAAUUGAAUACGGUUUAACUUUAUAAAUAUGGAAUUGGUUUUGUAAUGAUGAAUUCAAAAUCCCUGGACCCAUCCUCAUCGUUUCUCAAUCAAGAUAUCAUUCGUUAUUACAUUUUUCUUGCAAUUUUAGUUAUUCUCAUUAACAGCACAAAACCUACAUUCAAUUUGUUAUUUUCAUUGUUUAGUUAGGGUUCUUUCAAGGCUAGUAAUUUAUAGAGGUCUAAUUAGUUCUGUGGUUCGACACCCUUAUUUGUGCCAUUAUACUAACCAUAUAUUGUACUUGGAAGGAGCACAACAGAGUUCUCGUUGGAUUUCACUUAGAAACAAUGAGGAGACACUACCCCAGAUUUUCGCGAGAAUGCGUGGGCUUCAGGCCAUUUCUCGACCACCUCCGGCCAUCACAAGUCUUGAAAUUGGUACGAAUCUCUUCCUCUCAUCCUAAGCUUCAUUUUGGCUUUUGAAUCAUUGAAAAUGGUGAAGAAAUGAGCUCGAACGAAUUUCUUCCUCUCAUGGCCUGGAAUCAGGUCGACCCAACCCGCCUCCCUUAAACUCGAACCCAGAACCCAUUUGUGCAGCCGGCCUAAUGCAGAUCCUUGGGCCAAGUUACCAAGCCCAAAUCCUAAUAUAUGGCCCACUGAACCUAGCCCAUUAUCUUGGCCCAGACCCAAUUACCCCAGGCCCAACCUUAGGGCCUAAAACCCCUGGCCCAACCCAGAACCCUGGCCAACGCGUGGGCGUGCACAUGAGGUCCUGUCUUGGCCGAUGCAUGGAGCACACGCGCCUCCAUCGGAGGUACUAUGGACGGCGGAGCUGGCAACUUUUUCGACUAACUUUUCGGCGACCCAAAUCAGUGCGUGGCCGUCUGAGCCACCGCCCUGUGGUGGCGCGUGGGGGUACCCGAGUCCUCCUUUAUGUUUUUGACGUCCUAAAUCUAUUUAUGACGUUUUUUUUCUUAAAUUAAAUCAUUACAGUAGAGUUUUAUUAAUUGGACCCUUUAUGUACUUAGGUGCAUGUGUUUAUGGCAUUUCCGUCUUAGCUAGUUUACAUGGCUCUUCGACGACGGAGUAUCUAUGAGUGGACCCCUUCCAAAAUGCAUGAUUUUACUAUUAUAAAUGCAUACAUGAAAGCAUGAUUUUAUGAUUAUGUUUUAUGAAACAUUUAUAAGUAAAUUGGAUUUACGCUUUAUGAAAUAUCAUGCUUUAUCAGAUUUACGUUCUUUGAAAUAUUUAUGAUUAUAUAUUUAUGAACAUGGAUUAUGAUGAUGAUUUGAGCUAGAACGCUCCUAUGAUUUAUGAUAUGAUGUUUGCGCUAUUGAGCUUCGAUGAGAUAUAUUUUGGAAAUAUUAUGUUUAUGAUUUUUUGUGCUUAUAUAUGCCUACGGGCGAAUGAUACUUGUAUAUGGCUUCGGUUAGGUGAUGAAAGGCCUACGGGCGAAUAUACUUAUAUAUGGCUUCGGCCGGGUGAUGUAAUGCCUUCAAGCGGAAGAUAUUAAUAUAUGGCUUCGGCAGGGUGAUGUAGUGCCUUCGGGUGGAAGAUAUUUAUAAUUGGCUUCGGUGAGAAGAUAUAUAUAUAUAUAUAUAUAUAUAUAUAUAUAUAUUUGGGUUCGAUCGGAUGAUGUAGUAGCUUCGGUCGAUUAUGAGAACACUACUAAGCACAUUAUAUACGAUAUAUGUUUUAUGAAAGGUUUUAUGGCAUGCUAGGGUUUUCGGAAAACCUAUUACAUAUUAUACAAUUGAGUUUUCAUAAACUUUGGGGGUUAGUACGUUGAUUAAUAACUGUUUCAUUAUUACUUAUAUAUCAAUUUGGUCCACUCAUGUUUUGUUUUGCACCCCCUCAGGACUUAGAAUCGAGGCGUACAAUCCCGGCAUCAAUGCACUCCCGCAUCGGCAUCUUCGAGUCUUCUCGGUGUAGGACCCAACCCUUUUGUUCAUUCAAUUUUAUAUUAUUCCUUUUUAGUAUCUCGGAUUAGUUGUAUACUCUGAACACGUUCCACAAUUGCAUAUUCAUUAUAAUUAAAUUUACAAGUUUUAUUUAUGUCGGUUAAUUGUUUAUAGUUCUCAUGCAUCCUAAUAUAGCUUCAUCACUUUCGGGUGUCGACCAACACGUGUCUACCCUAGUGUUUGGAGAUUUUAGGGUUGGGCAUGUCAUGUGGGCCCCACGGGCAAAAAUUUAAUAAAAUAUAAAAUAUAAAAAAAAUCCUGUAAUAAAAUAUUAAAAUAAUUAAAUACCCAAAUUUCAUAAAAUACCCUCAAGUUUCAUAGUUCCGUAAAAUCUUCAUCGUAGCUCCAAAUUCGAUUCCGCUUGCGCCUACGUGUUCGUACCAUUGAGUACAUCGAGAAUACGGUAAUACGGUAAAAUAGUAGCUUGUAUGGGCCACAAAGUGAUGGUCAACAAAAGUCAACAAUCUCACCACCAGGGUAUUUUUGUCAAUUCACUCUUUUAAAAUUAACGAAAUCAUAAAAUUAGGGACGGGUUGUUACACUCCACAUGUCUCUAAUAUAAAUAAAUAAAAAAAUAAAAAUUAUUGCACUCUCACAUUCCUACCCUUUUCUCUCCAUCUUCUUUCUCUUUCAUAUAUUUUUUUGUGUGUGGGCUUCAUUUAGUAUCUAUUCAAUAUACUAGCAUGUUUAGUAGAUGUCGCCUUACUGCAGUAGCAAAAAGAAAUGUCUAUGCACUCUGGUGUGGGUUCGAUCCCACCAAUCCCCUUUCCCUAACAACUAACAUUUUAACCCAAUAACACUAGUGUUUGUAAAAAAAUAAAUAUAAAUAAAAAUUUACUAGUAUGUUUAACAAUUAUAUUCAUUCAAGUAGAUCGGUUUCAAUUGGUUUAAUAAUAUUUCAAUCCACUCCAACCCAUUGUGGUUGGGUUUUUACCCGAAAGUAAGUAUCUAAGGUUUGGAACCCAACCCAACUUAGCUCAUAUCCGUUGGGUUGGCCGGGUUGGUCAAUAGACCCACUAAAAUGCCCACCCUAAUGUAGGGGGGAAUCACAUUGUUUUUGUCAACUUAGCUAAGCCCAUAUCUGAUAAUGUAAUUUGACUUUUGAUAAGUUUUUUGUUAUUAUGUAGCUAUGAUAUAAAAGAGUACAAAACCUAGCAAAAGUUUAAAACCUCCAAUUUGAGUUAAACCCACACACAUGCAUAUUUUUUGGGCCAUCAACUUUGCUUUUGUGUGCCGUUUAACCCUUAAGACAAAAGUACGUUACCGCCUCAUUUAGAAAAGAUGUACAUGAAAGGCAAAUUGGUUUGUUAUCAAUAUGACGUGAGAUACCUCGUAUAUUUGAAAGAAAAAGUAAACAAAAUGGCGGAGGAAAGAGGAAAAACUAUUAUUUGAAAUUGAUUAUUGUAAAGAAUGACCAAGGGUUUACUUAUAUGCACAGCCCAUUAAACUCGUUAGCUCUGAAUUAUUUGGGAAUUUGGCAUUCAUACACAUGCUGGACCUAAAAUUAAACUGGGCACUAUGCAUCGACUUAUACUUUCACCAGAGUCCAGUCCACCAGAAUACCAUAGAUUAUCAAGUACAAAUUUGUGCUUGGAAAUUAAAUUUUAACCUUUAGGUGACGAUUCUACACUUCAAGAAAAUUAAUCAGGUUUAUAAAUGUAAACAAAUUUGAAGAAAACCGAGAAGUGUCUAUCUUUAUGAAAGUCAGGAGAUUGUGCACAGAGCUAGAGUACUUAUAUUUAUAUGGAGUUCCUCCUUAAGAGGGAUCCAAUUUCACUUUAUUACGGAGCGAGAUUAUUGAAACAAAUAGAGAGCUAUAUUUAUAAUGUGUUGCAAGAACAUGUCGACAUCCAUAUAAACACCAUAUCAAAUUUAUAUCGACAUCUUAUAUCAACACAUCCACAUGUAAUCAACGAUAUGCAUAACAUAUCUACGACGUAUCAAUACUCUCACUCCAUGAAUAGUGGAAUAGGACACGCACCUUGCCCUUAAAUACAUCACCAUUCACAUACAGAGAGAGGCUUAGUCGUAGUUCCCCUGAACAAAUUAAUCGCCUUAUAAGUCAUAAUGAACCACCUUGCCCUUCACUUUGACUGAUAUUUGACGUCUUCCAUUGUGAAUUCCCUUAAAAACUCGGUCGAAAUGGCUUAUGUGGCUUUUAUAUGGAGAAAAUUAGGGGAAUCGCAUAUGAACCAUGCACGUUAUUGUUAUUUCUAAAGGACUUGGAGAUGGGAGACAAAGCGAGACGCAUAACAUUGUUCAAAGAGGUAUUGCGGCAUAUGUGGCUUUUCUUUCUUUCCGGAUCAUCAUGAUCACAGCCAUCGUUGUGUUGGCGUCUCGAUCCUUUUUCGUCAUGGGAAAAAGAUCAUCUUUGUAAUCAGGGAGCGGUUCUUGGUCAGACUUGAUAACCUCAAAUCCAUCAAUAGCUGCAUCAAGUGUAAUUUUAUUUGAUCAAUGGAUUUUCCAGGAACCAUGCAAUAGUGACAGUUUCUCCCAUUCCCCCCUUUUCACUGCAAUCUCGAAGGCUUUGUUUUCUUGAUCAGUACUACUAACUCCUCCUGCCAUGGCUACUUUGUUCGUACGAUUGUACAAUCCGAAUUUAAUUUUAAAUUUAAAUUAGGAGUAUGUAAUAAGCUAAUGUUUUGAUAUUGUGGUUUAUGUGUUGGCAUUCUCGGCCUCUUUUUUUCCCUGGAGUUUUUUCCAUUUGGUUUUAUCCAGAAAAGGCUUUUCAGAGGCCCUCCCCUUGAGCUUGCCCGACCUACUAUUGUAUGAGUUUCGAUUGGCGUUUGUUUUCGCCCAAGCUAAUAUAUUAUGAUCCUUUUAAAAUAAAUAAAUAAAUAUAGAUAUACACACACACACACACAAGGGCGUGAGGGUUUACUAAAAAAACUGAUAAUAAUGGAGGAGACACGUACGUUUAAGAUUUGUAAAGCAGCAUGACUCACGACUGAUUUAUAGGAAAUAUUUUGCUUUCUUUCUAGUAAGUAGGGUUCUGAAUAUAAAUACUAAUUACUGUAUGUCAACGAGUUACUUGCCCUAAAAGUAAAGAAAAUAGUUAAGUACUAAUCGUAAUACUUGUUAGAUUGGCUUGAUACUUGUGAUGGAAGAAUAUAGGGGAAAUUUGAUGUAGAAAUGGUAUUCUCUUCCGUUUGGUGAGAGUCAUUCUCUCUCACUGAGAGCUUUUCUCACCACUUCUCGGCGGCCGUUGUGGCUAGGGUCGGUGGUAGCUCCCUGCUCAUUCUAUUCUUUUUUGCUUCAACUUGUGUUUUCUCAUACUCUCUUGAUCUUCCAUUUUACACCCCUCUUGCCUUCGAUCUCAACAUCCUUAGCCCCAAACUCCGUCCUCCACUUCCCUCCACUGCCUGAUGCCCGUUCACUUCCAUUUUCCCAUCAAUCCGAUUCAUACCCUUCCCACUUGGCUCCCUCACUCCUCGAUCCAACAUCAAUCUUGAUCUGCGAUCACUUUUCUUUACCCGAUUAGUCGCGGGUCUAUCAGAAGGUGUGUUGAGUUUUGGCUCAGAUGUUCACACCACCACCUUCCCUUUGUUUGCCUUUUGGCAUUGUUGCUCGCAAGAUGUGAAUUUCCACAGGCUUCCCUUGAUUAGUGGCUACAAUCUUUUUGGUGGUGCUCGUUGGAGAAAGAUGGAGCCUUAUUUUCUUUUAGUUCCUUCACUUCUAGGGUGCCAUUUGGUUGGAUCUCAGGCUGGUUCGUGUUGGUAGAUCUAUGGUGCUACGGCGACAUAAGGGUUGCAAGCCGCUACAGUUUGCAUUUUUGCUUUUUUUGUUUUGUUUUGUUUUGGUGGUCCAUUUAUUUGUUUUGUGCUUAUAUAUAUAUAUAAUUUCAGUCUAUCUUAUCUGUCGGUCCUCAUAGUUGUUUGUUCAAUUCCCCAACCAAAUAGUAAGGCGUGUUCCAAACAAUAAGUCCCAAGAGAGGCAUGAGCGGAUCACAUGAGCGGGGAAGGAAUUUAGCCAACGCACGAGGAAGGUGAAUCAAUAUAAGUUUUCUGUAUUUUGUUUGUUUGAUUUGUGAAUUUUAUGAGUAGAUUAUUUAGAUCUAAUUCAAUGGCCAGAACUAGCUCUAGGUCCAAUUUAGGAGCUAUCCCUGAUAUUGCUAAUGAAGAUCAAAAACUUGAUUUUCAAAUUGAUGAUAGUGUAGACUUUGGAGAUUGGAAUAUCCCUAAGGUUUCAAGCAAAAAUAUUUACAAAAAGAAAUGGUCAGUAGCCUCAUUUAGAAGUGAACACCAUGUUAAGACAGUUGAAAAAGCUUAUGCUCUUAGUAAAGAACAUGAAACUUGUCAAUUGUUUUAUUCUGAACAAAUCAAAUCCCAUAGGAAAGAUGGUCAUAACUACAUCCACAUUGGCUUAGUUCAAAUAGCCGUAAAACCCUUAACACGUAGAGGCCUUAAUACCUCUAUAUUGUUAUGUCUCCAAGAUGCUAGAUUCACUAAUUUUAGUGAUAGCAUACUUGGUAUGAUCGAGUCAAGUCUUUACAAUGGACCUAUCCAUUUUGAUUGUUUCCCAGAUCUUACCAUCAGUCUUUUAGACCCCUACUUGUUGAAAGCACUCACUCUAAACAUCAAAACUUCAGGAUAUCAAGUCCUUGAAGGAACACCGCAUUUGGCUUUAAUUUAUCGAGUCUAUUACAAAGUCACUGACACAAAUAUGAAUUUCUAGGCUCUAACCAAGAGUCUUAGAGAUCAUACACUCUUAAUUCAAACCAAUCAAGAAAAUGCAAACAUCAAAGUUCCAAGAACCAUUAGGUAGUCAGAUAUCAGUCUACCUUCAGAUUGGUGUUUGAUUAAUGAAAACAAGCCAGUAGCCAUCCAGAAUAGUCUAGUUAAUUUAGACAAUAUAGAACAAUAUUUUGACGGGACUCUCAAAAUCAACUUUGAUCGUCCAGCCAGAAGAUCUUGUGAGUCUAUUCAUUCACAUAAAUCAUUUGCUCCUAGCAGAAAUUCUUUUUCUGGAUCCAUGCCAAUUGAUAUGAUGGGUCAAGAUCAAGAGUUAAUCAAUUCAUUAGCCAAUAGGAAAUUAAAAGCAGUAGACACUAGUUCAUCUGUUACUCAACAAGAAUUAAUCAAUGAUUUGAUUAAUAUCAAAUUAAAAUUAGUAGAAACAACCUCUCAGGUUACACAUCCGGUUUACCAACCUCAAACCCAAGAUCAAGGAAAACAGACUUCUCCUACAUAAUCUGAUUUUGACGCAGGUCAGAUUCAUCACCAACUUUUAGUUUUAAAUAAACCAUUUAAAAAGAAUCGCAAAAGGCUCAAUGCCGACAUUGAAGCCGAAGAAAACAUUCCAUGAAGGAAUAUUUUCAAAAAUAAAUACACUCAAGAAGAGAAAUUAGAAAUUUAUAAGAAAUGGAAUGAAUUUAUGGAAAUACACAGAUUUGAAGUAUUCUUCUUCGAUUAUGUUGAAAAGUACUACGAGCCUGAUAAAAAAUUAGAAGUAAUAACCAAAGAAAACUAGCUUAAAGAAGACAAAACUAUUGUCUCCUCUAGUCAUCCUCCCUAAGAAACAAUCCUGAUCACGAAGGGUAAUACCCAAAUUCCUGCAACUCCUUUCAAAUUCCCCAAGGAAGAUUUAGGAGUUAAACUAGUUAUUGAACAAAACAAUUUUACUAAUCAAAGUCUCCAUACAAUUGGAAAACAAUUAGAUAAAAUUGAAACUAAAAUUAAAAAACUCUCUCAACCAAAAUCCUUAAUCAGAGAAAAACCUCUGGUUAAUUUCUCAUAAUCCUCUUCAAAGGCUACAUUGAAAACAACCUCAACUUCCACAAAUCAAAAAAUUGAUCAAAUGUUAUUAGAAUUAAAAAAGGAAAAAACAGUUCAAAUCCUAAAUCAUCCUAAUGAAUCUCAAUCAGAAAUAUCUCUUACAUCAUCUGAAUCAAAAGCUGGUUCAAAUUCCAUUCGAAAAGUUGAACAAGCUUUUCCAAAUCUUGAAUUCAAAGGGAUUACCAACAAACGUGUUAAUCCAACAUCUCUCACAAAAAACUGGUAUCCCAGACCUACUUCUCAUGAUAUUCAAUUUGAAGAAAGAAAUGUCCAAAAUCAAUUUUCAGUCUCUUUUGAUAAACUCUAUGAAUGGAAUAUAGAUGGUUUGUCAGAACAAGAACUCCUCAACAAACUUCAACACAUCUCUAUGGUUGCUAAUAGUUAUAUUACCAAUCAUAAUCUUAGUCAAACAACGAUAGCCGACCUUUUGGUCACUAGAUUCACAGGAAUGCUCCAUUCUUGGUGGGAGAAACAUUUCACUGAAGAGUCUAGAAAUGAAAUAAAAAAACGUUGUUAAAAGAGAUGAAGAAGGAAUACCCAUCUUCGACGAGCAAAUAGGACAAGGCAUCAUUGACGCAGUUAACACAUUACUUUUCACAAUUAUAGAACAUUUCAUAGGAACACCUAGUAAUGUCACCUCUAGGAUCCAUGAUCAACUCAGCAAUCUGAGAUAUCCAACUCUAAGCGACUUUAGAUGGUACAAAGAUGUGUUCAUGUCUAGAGUCAUGCUCAGAGAAGAUAGUAAUCAACCAUUUUGGAAAGAAAAAUUUAUAAAUGGAUUACCAAAUCUUUUUGCACAUAAAAUAAGGAAUGUUUUAGUAAACGAAGAUGGUAUCAUACCAUAUCAUACCCUUACUUAUGGAAAUAUAAUUAAUAUUAUCCAAAAGGAAGGCUUGAAAAUGUGUAUAGAUAUGAAAAUUUCAAAACAAGUUAAUAAAGACAAAUCUAUCGCCAAGUAUGGAUUAGGAACGUUCUGUGAACAAUAUGGAUUACCCCCUAUUGCUCCCUCUAAUAAAAAGAAAAGGUCAGAUACCUACAAUAGGUAUCCAACCAAAUAUUCCAGUAGAAGACAUCCCAAAUAUAAAAACAAGAACUUUGAAAGAAAUGAAUUUUAUGAAAAACCAAAGACUAAUAAGUCAAAAAGAAAACCUUCAGGGAAAUUCUUCCCUAAAGAACAAAAAGGAAAAUGUUACAAAUGCGGCAAAUUUGGCCAUUACGCCAACAUGUUUUGGAAUUAAAAGACACAGACCAUAGUCAAUCCAAGUUUUGUUAAGAAAACUAUCAACCAAUUGAAGAUCUCUGAGGAAGAGUAACUUCAGUUAAUCCAAGUUUUGGAAUUAAAAGACACAGACCAUAGUCAAUCAGAAGUUGAUUUGGAAUUAUCCUCUUCUAGUAACAAUUCCUCGAGCAAUAGCUCGUCUCCAGACAUUAAGGCUGGAUGUACCGAUGCUUGCUGCAACAAAAUCUCAGUCCUUAAUAAACAAGAAGAACAAGAAGAUCUUUUAAUUGAAUUAAUAAGUAAGAUCGAUGACCCUGAGCUUAAAUCUUUUUAUCUCAAGAAACUAAAAAAGUUAGUUUCUUCGGAUGAACCCAGAACUAGCCAAACCCAACCAACUCCAAAAAUAUCUCUUAGCACAACCUUAGAAAAGUUUAAUAAGACUAAGAAAGAAGUCACCAUCAAAGACCUCCAAAGAGAAGUAAAUAAAAUCAAAGACUAAAUUAAGUUUCUAAAAUCCAAAAACCUAGAUGUUCGAACACAACUCAGUAGAGUUUCAACAAGAUUGUUAAUAAACCCUCGCGAAGAAGAACUUGCUAGUUCUUCCUCUAGUUCUGAUUCAGGCUCUCAGUCUGAAGAAAAAUCCUCAGAAAACUUAGUCUUAAGUCUUUUAGAUAAGAUAAGAAUCUAGAAAUGGUAUUCUAAAAUUAAGAUAAUAAUCGAAAAUUUUCAAUUAGAAACAAUUGCUUUGAUUGAUUCGGGUGCAGACUUGAAUUGUAUUCAAGAAGGGUUAAAUACAUACUAAGUAUUUUCAUAAGUCAACAGAAAUACAUAGUGCUGCAAACCAGUCACCAAUGCAAUUAAAUUAUGAAAUACCAAAAGCGCAUGUUUGCCAAAAUAACAUUUGUUUUAAAACCCCAUUUGUUUUAAUAAAAAAUAUUUCAGAUCCAGUCAUAUUAGGUCUCCCAUUUUUAGCACUCAUAUAUCCUUUUAAGGUUCAUCACAAUAUGAUUACCACUAGAGUUUUAGGACAAAAUGUCACGUUUAAGUUCUGUUUGGAAACAGAUCUCAAAAAAUUAAGACAUUUACAGAAAAAUAAUAUUUCAAAAACCAUUAGUAUUAUUACUAAUAAGUCAUAACACAUUAAUUUCUUAAAAGAAGAAAUUAAUCAUAAACGAAUUGAAGAACAGCUAACAAAUAAAUCUUUGUUAGAAACUAUUAAUAAUUUUCAGAAGAAACUUAUUAAUGAAGUCUGUUAUGACAUUCCCAAUGCCUUUUGGCACCGAAAAUAACACAUUGUUAAACUUCCUUAUAUAAAGGAGUUUAAUGAAUCCAAAAUUCCUACUAAAGCUAGACCAAUCCAAAUGAGUCAAGAAGUUAUGGAAUUCUGCAAAACUGAAAUCCAAGAACUUCUUAAUAAAGGUAUUAUUAGAAAGAGUAAGUCACCAUGGUCAUGCCCUGCAUUUUAUGUUCAAAAGAACGUAGAAUUAGAAAGAGGAACUCUCAUAUUAUUAAUUAUAAAUCUUUGAAUGAAGUUUUGGAAUGAAUUCGGUAUCCAAUCCCCUACAAAAGAGAUUUGAUAAAGAGACUUUCUCAAACAGUUAUUUUUUUCAAAAUUUGAUAUGAAAUCAGGCUUUUGGCAAAUUCAAAUUCAUGAAAAUGAUAAAUACAAAACAACUUUUGUAACUCCUUUUGGACACUAUGAAUGGAAUGUAAUGCCUUUUGGCCUUAAGAAUGCACCAAGUGAAUUUCAAAAUAUUAUGAAUGAGAUUUUUAAUCAAUAUAGCCAUUUUUCGAUUGUUUACAUUGAUGAUGUGCUUAUUUAUUCAAAAUCAAUAGACGAACAUUGAAAACAUUUACAUUUGUUUGCUAGAAUUAUUAAAUCCAAUGGAUUAGUUGUUUCUGCUUCUAAGAUAAAACUGUUUCAGACUAAUGUUAGGUUUUUAAGAUACAAUAUCCACCAAUCUACCAUUCAACUUAUAGAUAGAGUCAUUCAAUUUGCAGAUAAAUUCCCAUAUCAGAUUACUAACAAAACCCAGUUACAAAGAUUCCUUGGAUCAUUAAACUAUGUUUCAGAAUUCUAUCCUCAUCUUCUUUAGCAGUGUAAACCGUUGUUUGAUCAUCUCAAAGAUAAUCCUCUAGCUUGGUGUACCAUUCAUACUUCCAUAGUCAAACAAAUUAAAAUUCAUGUUAAGACAUUGCCCUGUCUUGGCAUUCCAACUCCCAACUCAUUUAAAAUAGUUGAAACCGAUGCAUCUGAUAUUGGUUAUAGAGGUAUCCUGAAGUAGCAAACUUCUUCCGGAUCUCCUGAACAAAUUGUUCGUUUCCAUUCAGGAGUAUGGAAUCCUACACAAACUAAUUAUAGUACUAUUAAGAAAGAGAUAUUAUCUAUUGUAUUAUGCAUUAACAAAUUUCAAGAUGAUUUAUUAAAUAAAAAAAUUUUAGUCCGUGUUGAUUGCAAAUCUGCAAAACAUGUUUUACAGAAAGAUGUUCAAAACAUUGCAUCCAAACAGAUUUUUGCACGGUGACAAGCCAUAUUAAAUAUUUUUUAUUUUGAUAUUGAGUACAUUAAGGGCAGCCACAAUUGCAUUCCAGAAUUUUUAACAAGAGAAUUUCUGCAAAUAAAGAAUGUCAGGAAACAGCAAUAGCCAGAGAAGGUUUCUAGCCCCUCUUCCACCUCCAUCACCAGUAAAACAUGAAUAUAUUCUCGAUUCCUUAUCGGCCCUAGCCAUUACCAAUAGAUUCACUCCCUUAGGAUCAAAUAUAGGACAAUUACGUCCAAACUACCAAACGACUUUAGCCAGCCCUUAUGAUCCAUAUUCAUCAAUGCCAUCACCUUCAACCCCCAUAACACCUAGCUUUGCUAAAACAUCUCCCUAUGUCAAGAAAAAUCCAAUGGAAUACCUUUUCUGCAUCUCAAACCAUACUGAUAAAAAAUAAACCCCAGAAAAAAUAGCCAAAACAAUCUUACCCCCAAAUUUCCAUCAUGUACGAACUGAAUCUUUCAAAACCCUCAAAUUUUAUCAAGCAAUUCUUAGUGAGACAGAAAGCAUUGCUAUCAAACCUAUUUACAGUACCACCCAUCAAAACAAAAUACUCUACCAUUCCCUCCAUAUUGGAAAAUUUCUCACUGAGCAAGAAUGGGGACUCCCCCUCUAUCAUACCAAACUACUUCAUACUCAAAAUGUUCUCAUUCCCAACAACAAAUAUAGUUAUUUUUACUACAUUCAAGCAUGGACCAAUAUAUUUCUUCACUAAACAUCUAACUUUAGUCACUCAUGGUUCAUUACAUUUGAUAAAAGUUUCAGGUUAAACUUCCUAGCAUGGUUUCCUAAUUGGUGGUCAGCGCACGGCCCAACAGCCAGCUUACUACCUGAAGAUCUUAUGCAAGUUCUAUCAUCUGGUUUCCAGAAACAAUUUGAUCGAAGUCGUUUCGAUGACAGAGUCACUCUCAUUUCGUUGUUCAUGGCAAAAUACAAGGUCAUUUAGAUCAUGAAAUGGAAUUAUGAGAUUGAAACAAGUCAAGUUUAUCGCGCUCGGUGGGUCAAAUGGUGGGAUAAAUUCGAUUACGGAAAGAUUAUCAGUUUAGUCUUAUCGGAAUUUCCUAUUGAACCUGUUCCAAUGAUAUCCCCAUCAGCAACAAUAACAAAAGCAUUGCCAGAAAUCCCAAAGAAUACAUAAUCCUUAUCAGACAUUAGUCCUUCAUCUUCCCUCAAAGGAAAAGCAAAAGCUAAAUCAUCCAGGUCCUCCAAAACAACAAAUUCGAGAAAAAAGAGAAAUCCUCCCAGCUCAAAGAAUUAUCAGAUAAACUUUUGGCAGAAGUAGGUUUGCUACACAAAGAAGAAGAAAGUUCAAGUUCAGACUCAUUAGACGCUUCGUCUCAACCAGUCAAGUGGGUAGAUUACCAACCAGAUUCCCAAGACCCAUUUGAUUUGUAAAAUUAAAAAAUGUAAUAAUUUGUAAUCAUUUCAAGUUUUUACCCAUGUAAAUUGCAUAGUAAAAGCCAUGUGAAUUAUCACAGCAAGUAGCAUCAGCAGUAGCAGCAAUCAUUCAGGCACAACAUUAUUUAUGAAUAGUAAAAUCACUUUUUACUGUUCAUCCAUCAUUUCAGCCAACAGCAGCGUGAACCCACAGUAAAAAUAUCAUCAAUCGCCAGCCUUUACAGCCUUUGGCACAUGCAUAUGACAGAAAGCAGCGGGAUUCCCGGCCUCAAUCAUCUCACUUUUCUCUACAAAAGAAGAAUUCAUUUUCAGAGGAAAGGGACUUCGGUCGAAAAAGAAAGCUAAGACCUCUGCGAAUUCUCUCGAGAACAGAAAUCAUUAUUCAGCUCCAUUCCACAACCAGCAAAAUUAUCAAACACUUGUAUUUUAAUUUUCAAUCAAGGAUGCCUGCAAGCACCACUGUUUUCCUUAUCAAUCGUUAGUAGAUGAAAUUGUAAGUUGGUUUCCAAUUUGAAAUAAAAUUAUUUUCAAAUCUAUACUUGCAUCAUUAAUUUUAAUUCAUUAUUUUCGUUAUGAAGAAUAUUUUCAUAACCACUGAUUUUGAAUGGCUUAAAAUUCUUACUCAGAGUUUGUUUGUACCAUACUUGACCAAUCCCGAAACUACUGAGCACCGGUCAACGUUAUACCACCAAGGACCCAGAAGAGUUUCCUUCCAACUAGGAGGCCAAUCACAGUGCGACACGUGUCGACAUCAAAAGCCAAUCAUAGAACGACAUGUGUCAAUAUCAGAAGCCAAUCACAACACGACACGUGUCAAUGUCAAAAUAAAACUAGAAACUCUCUUCUAUAAAUAGAGAUCAUUCUCUCACAAUAUUUCCUAAUGUCAUUUAUACUAAAUCAUUCACUAGUACUCACUAAAGGAGAGCUUGAACCUAUGUACUUGUGUAAACUCUUCACAAUUAAUGAGAACUCCUCUACUCUGUGGAUGUAGCCAAUCUGGGUGAACCACGAACAUCUUGUGUUUGCUUCCCUAUCUCUAUCCAUUUACAUCCUUAUCCAUACUAGUGACCAGAGCAAUCUAGCGAAGGUCACAAACUUAAUACUUUCUGUUGUACCAAAGUCCUCACUAAUUUUGUGCAUCAACAUUUGGCGCUGUCUGUGGGAACGAUACUUAUUCCCACUCUCUUCAGUUUUGCCAAGCUGGUUUCCACCAUUUUUAAACUCUCUUUUGACCAGGCAUCCCUCUCCAACAUGGGGAGCGAAGGAAGCCACAGCACACAGAAUGACACCCUUCUUGCACCUAGUGCGAAGCAACGAAAGAAGGAAGGAAAGAGGGUUGCUCUUCAAGCUAAAUUCGAUGAGUUAGAAACUCAAAACAACAAGAUAGCAAUGAAGAAUGAGGUCAUCUAAGAGCAGUAUGAGAAGCUCUUUGAGACACUCCACGAAACUAGGCGAACUCAAACACGCGAGCUCGUUGCCCCUAUGGACAUCAACCAUUAUCUGGGUGCCCCUCAACACGGAGGGCCACCUCCCUUCGACUUGGGUAUCCUUGAUGAGAAGCGAGCUAAUCAUCAAAACAUUGAUCAACAUGAGACUUCUCUCAACCCAGAUGCUUUAACCU